rnacentral:lncRNA from 1 species
UUUUUUUUUUUUGUAAACUGGCCUUCUUAAUUUAAAUGCAAAAGAAAUAAAAUACAUCAAGCCCAAGGCUUAAGUUUGUUAUGAGUAAACCCAGUGUUAUACUCUUAAUGAAAACACAUAUUUUAGGAACUGAAGCCCAAGUAACAGUCGUAGCCCAGAGUUGAGAAUCAAAGUUGAAACCGUGGAAAGUGGAGAAGAAUUGUCGAGAAAGUCUGCACAUUGUCUUGGCCAUGAGAGAUUAUGAACGGAGGAACCAAAGCUGUGUCAUCGCGGAAGACGCCCUAGGGUUUGCAUGUCAGAAGCUUUGGAGACGGUUACGGAUUUGCUUGUCUAUGAGUGAUAUUAACGCACCCGGAGGUCUGAAGAUUUGGUGGUGGAGACGUGUGUUACGCUCAUUCCAGAGCCAGUAAAUCGUGGCUUGAGUUGCUAGUAGUCGAAGACGAAGAGAAUCGCGAUUCCCUCGGAGAGCCAGGAGUUGAUUGAGAUUGUCGUCCCAUGAGGCAUGAGCUUGCAAAUCGCAUCGAUAUGCUAUCUGAUUCCAGACCGUGACACUGUAACGACACUCAAAGAAAAGGUGAUUUCUACUCUCAUGAUCAGUGUUGCAAAAUAAGCAUAACGGAUCUACAUUAAGACCCCAUCUUGUUAACCUGUCUCUUGUAGGACAUCGAUCCAGUAGGACUAACCAAGUGAGGAAGCAGUGUCGGGGGAUUCCGUAUGAGAACCAGACAAUCUUAGCCCAAGGAACUAGUGGCUGCGGACCCUUGAGGUAAGUAUAUGUUUCACCAGUUCUGUAACUGUGUCUAACUCUUCCAUCAAUCUCCCAUUCGAAAUAAUCCUCCUCAUCUAGUAAUUCUACGGUAGUAAGGUGUACCUGAAGCGCUAAUUGAUUGUCAGUUCUUGCUGCAGGGAUAUUCCACCGGCCUUCAGUAUAGAGAGACGCCACCGUUGCUGUCCUCGAGAUUCCAAGUCUGGUUGAAUUACCAUUCAAGAAUGUGUGAAGAUUUCCCAGAGGUGACCAGUUAUCAAACCAAAACCGUGUGGUUUGUCAAUUCCCAAUACGUCGUUUAAGCAGCGGGUAGACAAUAGCUCUAGCCUUGAUCAUCUUGUUGACUAGCCAAGAAUGGUUGGUGCUUGUUCCUAUCGUCCAGUAGUUUGAUACGUCGCCUUUUAGGAUUACCUCCUUAAACCAGCAGACCCACACAGAAUUCGGGCGAAAGAAGAGCAUCCAGAUAAGCUUCAGUAUGCACGCAAGGUUCCAAGUAUGAAGGUCUUUAACUCCCAGUCCUCCCUGAUCUUUGGUAAGUGUUACUGUCUCCCAACUUACUCUAGCAGUAUGGUGACCUUCGCUCUUGCCUUUCCAAAGGAAUAUGCCACACAGUGAAUUGAUUUUAUUGAUGCAUGACUUUGGUAGGAUGAAGCUGGAACACCAAAAGGUCGUAACACCCGAGAUCACCGUUUUUAUCAAGAGUAACCGCCCCGCAAAUGACAGAGCCUGAGCUGACCAGGAGGAUAGACGCUUCUUAAUCUGCUGAAGUAGAGGCUCGCAGUUCUGCAAGUUGAGCUUUUUCGUACACAGAGGGACUCCGAGAUAUCGCAUUGGUAAUGAACCACACGGCAUCCCCGUCGAAACUUGGAUAGUUGCAAUAUCUUGCUCUGUAAGUCCCGAAGCAAAAAAACUAGAUUUUUGCAAACUCACAGCCAGACCUGAUCUCUUUUCAAAUUCGUGCAGUAGCUGGAGCACCCUCUGAACGGACUCAAGUGACCCAUCAAUGAAGAUCAGUAGAUCGUCGGCAAAGGAGAGAUGAGUUAGCUUCGUUUUAUGGCACUGAUGAUGGUAAGAUAUAUAUCCUGCCCUCGCUUCUUUAUCCAACAUCAUUGACAAGUAGUUCAUAGCAAUGACAAACAGGUAGGGAGAGAGUGGGUCUCCUUGCCUUAGUCCCCUUUUUCCUUUGAAGAAACCAUUCACCGUGCCAUUGUAACCCACCAUAAAUGUUGUCGUGCAGAUGCAAGCUUUCAGCAAUCGGAUGAAAGGAGCAGGGAGAUCUAUACUAUCCAACGCUGUGAACAGAAACUCCCAAGAGAGAGUGUCGAAAGCUUUUUCUAUAUCGACCUUAAUGGUAAUCUUCUUAGUUCCUUUGUUCCUGUGGUAGCCAUUCACUAGUUCGCUAGCCAAUACAGUAUUUUCCACUAGGAGUCUACCCUCAACAAACGCUGUUUGAUUGGGCAAGAUUAGCUGACUAAGAAUAGGCUUUAGACGUCUCACCAGCAACCGUGAAAUGACUUUAUAGAGGGUAUUCAGACAGGAGAUAGGACGGUAGUCUGAUAUUGUAGAUGCUCCAGUGAACUUAGGAACCAAAGACAAGAUCGUUGAAUUUGUGGUUUUUGGCAGGAACCCUGAGUCGAAAAAAUCUUGAAUCGAGUUGACACAUUCCGCACCUAGAAGAGACCAAGAAGCUUUGAAGAAUCCAGAGGUGAGUCCAUCAGGCCCCGGAGCUUUAUUUGGGUUAAGGGAAAACAUUAGCUUAGUGAUCUCUUCAUUUGUAGGCAUCAGGAGGAUUGAGUUUAUCUGCUGCUGGCUGCAUCUGACAUGCGUGAGGCUACGAAACCAAUCAGCCGGAGUGUACCAGAGCGAUGGGAGGGAAUCAGGUCCAAGAACACCUUUAAAGUGAGCUAUAGCGUGAGCACUCAUCUCCAGUGGGUCUGUGAUGAGAACACCUGACAAAAGGAGGAACGAGCGGAUUGCAUUGAAGCUAGCUCUCAUUUGGCAGACACGGUGGAAGAAGGUAGUAUUCAGAUCUCCUUCACGAAGCCAUGUUAUUCUAGACUUUUGCUGAAAGAAGCAUUCUUCAAUUUGCCAGAGAAAUUGCCAUUUCAGAUUAAGAUCAUGUUCUUCAGCAAAAUUUUCAGGAGUUGGAUCUGACAAGGCUUGUACCUGCACAAGUUGUAACAAACGGUAAGCUUCAUUAACUCUCUGUUGGAUAUUUGAGAAAUUUUCUUUAUUAAGAAUUUUAAGACUCCUUUUAAUGCUUUUCAGCUUCCAACACAGAGACGCAAAGUUGGCAGACACACUUCCGGCGAGCAACCAUGCAUCAGUAACAACCUCCAGGAAGCUCGGGUGUUUGGUAAGGUAGUUUAGGAAGCGGAAGGGUUGAGUUCCUGCUUUAGGGAGUUGGAAGGCUAGGUCAAUAAGGCACGGGGAGUGAUCUGAAGGGGCAGGAGGGAGGAAAGUUGCAGUGGCAUUAGGAUAACUGGUAAGACACUCACUGUUGAUCAAACAUCUGUCUAGUUUCUUUGCAAUUGGGGAGCCGUCACAUUUGUUUGUCCAUGUGUGAACAGGGCCAUAGAAUCGAAGAUCAAACACUCCCAUCUGUAGUAAACUAUCACGGAAUUGGAACAUUUGCGAAGAAUGUGUACUGUGACAGAAGGAUGAAUGCUCGUAAGGGUGAAGAAUCUGGUUAAAGUCCCCUCCUACCAUCCAAGGCCUUGAAUCCAGAUCAUGAGCAGAAUGCAAGUUCAAAAGCUCCACCCAAAGGUCAGUUCUCUCUUCAAUGGUAUUUGAAGCGUAGAUGGCAGAGUAGAUGAUAGGAGUACAAUUAGGCAGCUCAAUCUCACAAGUAAUCAUUUGCCUUGACUGUGUUAUCACUCGAACUUUUGCUGGAUCCUUCCAAAUAAGCACGAUUCUCCCAUCUUCAUCAGAUGAAUGGUUAGAUAGAUAGUGCCAGUCUCGACAUAGGGUAGACAUCAAACGGGAUAGAGAUAGUUCCUUAAUAUGUGUUUCCAAUAGAGCACCAAAAAUGGGUCUGUGACUAUAAAGCCAAUCCGAAAAUGUCCGAUGUUUUACCGGGUCAUUUAGACCACGGAGGUUCCAAAAAAAGAGUUUUACACUCAUUAUGUAGAAAAAGAGGGUUCCCCAGUAGACUGGAGAGGGUCAGAAACAGUUAGAAGAGGCAAAAAAGGGUUAUUUGUGGAGGUAUUUAUGAAAGGGGAAUUUUCAAGGUACCUAAGGGUACCAAUCACGGGGAAUGAAAGGUCAGGGGACGGUUUAGAAGACUGAUAGAUGAUUUUGGGAGGUGCAGUAGGGGAAAUGGUUGGGGAGGAACGGGUUCUUUUUAAUGAUGGUUUUUGAGGUUUGUCCGAAGAAAUGUGAGCGGUGGAAGGGAAAAUCUUCUGAUUUGGCAUAGGGACAAAAGAGGGAGUAUUGAAAGCAGAGGGGCUAGUGGGAAGUGAAACAGUGUGGGUGGAAAGUAAGGGUUCAACGGUGAUGGGAGGGAAUGGUUUCUUGACAACAUACUGUUUGGUUUUUACAGAUUUUGUUGGAGUUUUUAUCGCCGAGUCUGAGAUCUUUUGCUUUGACUUAUCCACAGGAACUUUUGCUAUAGGAGGUGGAUCCUUUGGCGGUAUGUAGAGCAAACAAUUUUUCAUGAUAUGACCCAACUCAUGACAAUGAGCGCAUGUGGGAGGCAGCCAUGGAUAGUCCACUUGCACUUCAACAACUUCUCCACUCUGCCUUUGAAACUCCACUACAAUCGGNNNNNNNNNNNNNNNNNNNNNNNNNNNNNNNNNNNNNGGAAGAGGCUUGGUGAGAUCUACUUCCACCUUGACAUGAGAUAAGGUAAGACUCACUAGGUUUAGAGUAAAGUCAUCCGUUUCUUUAGGCUCUCCAAUCAACCCCGCAACUAGGCUAAGGCCUUGUUUAUAACGUAGGUCGAGAGGAACUCCAGUGAGGUGAGCCCAAAUCUGGAUAGAGCUAAGAAGAGGUGUUGUGGAGGAAUGCACAGAAGACCAUUGAGCGGUAUGAAACAUCGAAUCCCCCACAUACCAUAUAUUUUUUUCCAAGAUCUUCUGUCGAAGGAAGUCACUAGGGAUCCUAACCAGAACUGAGCGUUGUAGAGGGUUGUUAUGCAUCUCAAGCCUUCUACCUUUACCCCACAUAUGACAGAGAACACUUUGGAUCUGCUUGAAAGGUGGGGGGGGGGGGGGGGGGGGGGGGGGGGGGGGGGGGGGGGGGGGGUACGUACUGUGGGAACCAAAAUUCUCNNNNNNNNNNNNNNNNNNNNNNNNNNNNNNNNNNNNNNNNNNNNNNNNNNNNNNNNNNNNNNNNNNNNNNNNNNNNNNNNNNNNNNNNNNNNNNNNNNNNNNNNNNNNNNNNNNNNNNNNNNNNNNNNNNNNNNNNNNNNNNNNNNNNNNNNNNNNNNNNNNNNNNNNNNNNNNNNNNNNNNNNNNNNNNNNNNNNNNNNNNNNNNNNNNNNNNNNNNNNNNNNNNNNNNNNNNNNNNNNNNNNNNNNNNNNNGGGGGGCGACCGUUAAAAUAACAGAUAAUGAAAUCUUUAUGAAGCUCUGCGCCUUUGUGAAAGACAGAGUUCGGGAUUAGCACACGAGGUCGACCAGUUUCAAAGAUAGUUACUGGAGCGAGUCUCUGGAGAGACUUGUCUCCUCUCACACGAAGAGUUUCCGCUAGAGUAGGAGCAGCAUUAUGGGUUUGGGGUUGGGGUUGGAAAAUAGGAGGUGGAUUUAGUUGUGGGGGGGCAGUGUGUGGCUGAGAGUUGGGAAUGGUGGAUCUUACAGGAGGGGAGAGCGGGAUCAGAAGGAGUUAGGGAGGUAGAGGCACUGUUAGAGAGCAGGGGAGAGUUGUGGUUUGGUUGAAGGAUUUUGAAAUUGGUGGGAUUUGGUUCUGAAUAAGGUAAGUUAAGCUUUUCCAGAGAGGGGGAAGGGUUAGUGGUUGAGGAUGAGGAAAGAGUUUUAGGGUUUCCUGUAGCAGGAACAGUGAGUAUAGAUUCAAUCUCAGCUAGCGAACCAAACUGAGUAGUGGCUUGAGAGAUGGCUGAAGCUGUAGUUGGGUGUUGAGCUUGAGUCAUAACAGUAUCAACAUGGGUGGUAGUGAGGUGGGAUCUACGAGUUUGAGAACGGGUAAGAGGAGGAGUGGAGUCUAAUGGUGGGAAAAGAUGGGGAGAAAGAGGGGACUGAGGGUCAGGGGGGUCAGGUGGUGGUAGGAGAGCUUCUCCGGAGGUUGAAGACGCUGGUUGCACGGCGGAAGCACGGCCAGGAAGGGCCCAACGAGUCUGCAUUGGUAAGCGCGUCAGAGAGAAACUGACUUUUUUUUUCUAUUUUUGUUUUUUGACAGCAAUUUAAAAAUUUGAUGCCCUAGUUAUAAGUUAUAACUAAACUUUUUGUACUGCAUUUUAAGUAUAUAAACAAAAUAAUGCAAUAUAUUAUUAAAUAUUAACUUGCUAUCAAAUAAAACAAAAUACAUACAGAAAAGUUAUUAUUCUUGAGAAAUAAUGUUGGUACUGAUUGAUUACUAAUCUUUGUUCUUGUGGCAUUUUCUAUAAAUAAAUAAAUAAACAUAAACAGUAUAAUAUGAUACAUAUGAUAAAGUUAUGUUAACAUCAACAUCAUUUCCCUUUAUAAAAUGUCUCACGGGAUAUUAGAACCUAAUUUAUGAUAAUUUGUAUGUUCAGAUUUCAUAAAUUCGUAGAAAUGAUAAAAACUUACAAAAAAAAUAUAAGUAGAGCAAAAGAGAGACAUAGAAAUGAUAAGAACCUACUGAUAAUUUAAUUCCAUUGUUAUAGUAUCUCUCUUGUUUACACAUCUAUUUUCUUCAAAAAGAAAAAAUAAAAAUAAAAAAUAAAGAUGGCAAGAAGAACGUCUAUUUAAAAUAAAUAACUAAAGUUUGCUAUCCGAAAAAACUAUCGUUUGCUUUAUUCAAUUGUUUAUUUAAUAUGCCAUUUAAUUUAAUAUUUAAGAUAAAAGAGACCAAAUUUAUCAGAAAUGGUAAGUAAACCGUCCUAUCUUUAAAUUGGGCAAAUUAAUUGCUAUUAAAAUCCAAAAACAAAAAUUAGUAAAAAACUCAGAUUUGAACCCACUACCUGAAGCACUAGAGAACGAGUACGCAAACCCUACAAUGAUCAAGUUGUAAAUAUUUGUCACCCCAAAAUUAUAUAUAAAUUCUGGUGCCUAAAGCGUUUGCUUUGCGGGCUUUAGCCCAUGGCCCGGCCUGUGUACGAGUUAAGAUGAUUGAUCAAGUAAAUUAAACAUUAAGAGCCUCUCUUUUAUUAUGGAGUAGUGCUAAUUUUACAUUAGCCUCAAACAUCCUAGAUAAAACCUUACAUAUUAUUAUGAAACACGCGAUGAGGUGUGGUGUUGACAUAUAUCGACAACCACAUUCAUACACUCGAGGGUUUCGUUUGGAAUCUAGUAGGAGGGCCCAGGCAUGGUCUUCUGGAAGGGACAUACGCUAACUUGCGGGAUUUUGCAAACUUUAGGUAAGUGAGUAGCUGUCUGGUAGAUACGGCUCACCAUUUGCUGCUUUCCUUGCUGUUGUCCCUGUUGCUGAAUUUGUUGUUUAACCGCUUUGGAUGCUCCUUUCAAGGUUGGGCAAACGCAAAGGGGCUCUUCCUGGUGGAGCUCGUUACAGCACUGCUGGAGUAGAGGCGGUCUCUGCUGUGGACCCUGGGGGUUCUCCAUGUCGUCUUCAAAGUCAAACUCACCGUCGAGGGUCCAGCUAGGACCACUGCCAGACUGCAUUGCUUGCUUGUGGAGCCACUGCUGGCAAGCUUUUAGGUGUUGUGCUUGCUGAAACUCCUUCCUACAUUUUGGAAUCCUAAAUGGGCCGGCUGGGUUUGUUGCAUCAUCUUCGUCGAACUCGACCACCGUCCGGUAGAUGGAGGCAUUGGUGAGAAGGAAGAAGAAGGCGAGAGUUGCCGAGACGAGGAAGAGCUUGUUCGCCAUUAGUGUAUGUUUUUAAUCUUGUUUGUAUUGAUGAGUUUUGGUUUGAGUAAAGAGUUAAGCGGAUGAGUUAAUUUAUAGGUGAUAAAGGAGAUUUGCAUGGCGAUCACGUGUAAUAAUGCAUGCACGCAUGUGAUUGUAUGUGUGUGCUGUGAGAGAGAAGCUCUUAGGUGUUUGAAGGGAGUGACAAGUGACGAACAAAAACAAUCCUCCGCGUCUGCAUGCUUUGUGUAACGUGUAGCUAAUGUUCUGGCAUGGCAUCUUAUGAGCGAUUCUUUUUAAAAACAAGGUAAAAACUUAACUUCAUAAAUUAAAAAAAAAACGUUUAGUAAGUUGGUUUAAAAGGGGACGAGAGUCUAAAAAUUUUGGAGGUAGUGCCGUUGGGAAUAUAAAUUGGGAGAGCUUAAUCAGAAUUAUAGAAGUUAAAGUUGAUUUAGUCACGGUCAAUAUAAAUUGGGAAUUUGAGUCAAAAUCUUCCAAAUUCGGAAUCCGUCUUGUUACACCCGGUGGUAGGAGCCGAACGGUUUGAAAAUACUUGAAAUGUGGAUGUACAGGCUGGUUUAAUUUUAUGUUGAAUGGAUACAUGUCAAUCGAAUUAUAGGUACACAUUUUACUCUAAUACUAAAAUGUAACAUUUGUCUCAUCCUUACUCAAGAAUGGUAGCUCAUCCUUACUCGAGAACGGUAUGCCAGUCACUUUAACGUAUAUCUCAUGAAACUCAACUCUAACACUUAUUUCAUACCCAUAUCUAAAAUAAAGAAAACUGAAGAAAAACGGUCAAUAGCAUCAAUCCUUACAAAUAUAAUGCACUUGGAAACCUCACAUGAAAAUAACAAUAAAGAGGAGGUGAAUAAUAUAAGUAGUCCGAAAUGAAGUCUAUGGACUUAGAAAUAACAUUCCAAAUAUAUAUAAUUUAAUCAUAACAUGAAACAAACACAACACCUGAAAUGACAUAGAACAAAUUAGGGACCUAGUUAUAAGAUAAAGACUGGCACACCUCUUUUUUUUUUUGUUCAACUACUGGCACACCUCUAAUAGAAGCUUUCCCUAUGGAGGAUUCAUGUAUGUGACUAGAACCCACACACCGCCCGAAAACGCUUUCUUUAUUGACCUCAUUUACUACAGCUCAACCUGUCGACUUAGCGAAGAGGAAGAGCAAAGAUCAAGCUAACUAAAUUAGGGCUCUUGUUUGAUGAAACUGAAUGAAUGAAUCGAGAGAUGAAUGAGAUCUUCAUAAGCGAAUUAAGAAUCGACAAGGAAAGUUGCCCAAUAAAUAUUUGACAUUUCUUAAUUUUAAGGCCAAUUGGGCCAGUAACAUAUGGUAUUUUGACAGAUAUAUAGAUCCCAGAAUAAAUACUGAAUCAGCAAAAAUGAAAUCAGAGAGCUAAACGCUGAAGAAUCCACAUCUGCGUUCAAACAGUUCAUCCUUUACCUCAAAUAAACAAACUGCCAAAUCUUUUAAAUAUCUCAAACGUAAACAAAAUAUGAAAAAGAGUCUUUGGGACAAACAAAUCAAAAUGGUCUUGACAGCAUAUUGACCCUUGUAUGAUUGAAAGCCACUGAGACCCUCCUGCCAUUAACACAUCAAAUCUUAUAGACACACUUUGAGAAAAUAAAAAUCGUGAGGCCAUCUCAGUGUUAGUGACUCGCCAUGAAGUAAAGGCAUACCAGGAGAGUUUUGUCAAAAAGACAUAAGCUUAUUAGAUAAUUGGAGGGUUUAACUCUUAUAUAUCAUGUGCAGAAUUUAAUUGGUCAACAAAGCAAAUGGAACCAUCCGAUAGAUGUUUUAAAGAACAAGAGGUACAUUUGUAUAUAUGCAUUGGUUGAUACGUUUCUGCCAUCUGAAUUGCUUCUUCCUCAAAGAAGAAGCAAUCACCGAUGAAUGCUAAAGGAUUCAGGUCUAUAUUUGGCUUCUACUAGGCUUGUCUCUACAGUAGACUUUAUUCACAAAUGCAAACAACUUCAAGCAAGGCAAGUGACAGGACAGAUAAUGCUUAGAGAAAGAGAAACCGUUGAAAAGAAGCAGAAAGCACAACUCCCUUCGACUAAUUAAUCUAGGAUUUGCACUGACCAUAUUACUUCAAAGAUAGUUCCAUUUCAAGAAACAUAAACAGAACUUGAAUGAGAAAAAUCUAUGAUCAAAUUCAAAGGGAAAUUUGCAAGAGUACAAAGACAGAUUCAGCAGCACCUAGAAAACCCCAAUUGAUCUGCGUAAAAUCCCAAUUCUCUCUUCUGUUUACAAAAAAAAAUCACGAUCCACACUCUUUUUUGAUUUUCAAAUCAAAACAAAUAAUCAGCCCUGAAUUAUACAGUAAAAUCCCGAUCAAAACGGGUUAAUAAUUUUAUGAAAUAAUACAAAAAAAAAGAAACAGAUUGAGAUCGGCAAAACCUCGAUCAAUCAAUCAAUCAAUCAAACAACAUCGUCCUUCUUGGGUUUCCGAUAAUUCUCUUCGAUGUGCUCGAGGAUGACGCGAACAGUGUUCGUCAGCUUCUUUACAUCGGGAACGUUGUAAUUCUGUGCAACGUAUACACCAUAAGCCGUUCCCAUCGUGAACACCAAGCAGCUCUUCAUUAUCCCCAUCCCCCUCUCUACGCUCCGUACUAGUGUUCUAUUUGCACUUGUACUAUGAUACUUUAAUGGGCCUUCAAUAUUUAUUUCUAAGGCCCAUAGUGGGCCCAAAUCAAAUGAAACCGGCAUGCUCAUUUCCGUUGGUAGACAGAUUAAGAUUAAGGGCCAGAUUGGUUCAAAUGCAGCGGUUGCGGUUGCGGAAGUUUGUGGAUGCGGACGGUUGCAGUUUCUAGCGGUUUUAAGAGAUUUGUACGACUGGUAGUGCGGUUAAAUAUUGGUGCGUUUGCGGGUGACUUAUGACUGGUUAACUACCAAAUGCGGUAACAGUCAAAUAAUAAAUUAACAAUAUUUAUAUUUAAUAUAAUUAUAAAAAUAUCAAAAAGUCAUAAAAUUAUAAUAAAUAUAAAAUUUAUAUUUAGAAAGUUAUAAUUUUAAUUAUUAAAAAUUUAUUAAAAUUGUUUUUAUUAUAAAAUUUUAUAAUAUUAAUUAAAAUAUAAUAGAUAUAUUUUAAUAUUUUCAUAAUUUCAAUUUUAUAUUUAAAAUAAAUAACUAAAGUUUGCUAUCCGAAAAAACUAUCGUUUGCUUUAUUCAAUUGUUUAUUUAAUAUGCCAUUUAAUUUAAUAUUUAAGAUAAAAGAGACCAAAUUUAUCAGAAAUGGUAAGUAAACCGUCCUAUCUUUAAAUUGGGCAAAUUAAUUGCUAUUAAAAUCCAAAAACAAAAAUUAGUAAAAAACUCAGAUUUGAACCCACUACCUGAAGCACUAGAGAACGAGUACGCAAACCCUACAAUGAUCAAGUUGUAAAUAUUUGUCACCCCAAAAUUAUAUAUAAAUUCUGGUGCCUAAAGCGUUUGCUUUGCGGGCUUUAGCCCAUGGCCCGGCCUGUGUACGAGUUAAGAUGAUUGAUCAAGUAAAUUAAACAUUAAGAGCCUCUCUUUUAUUAUGGAGUAGUGCUAAUUUUACAUUAGCCUCAAACAUCCUAGAUAAAACCUUACAUAUUAUUAUGAAACACGCGAUGAGGUGUGGUGUUGACAUAUAUCGACAACCACAUUCAUACACUCGAGGGUUUCGUUUGGAAUCUAGUAGGAGGGCCCAGGCAUGGUCUUCUGGAAGGGACAUACGCUAACUUGCGGGAUUUUGCAAACUUUAGGUAAGUGAGUAGCUGUCUGGUAGAUACGGCUCACCAUUUGCUGCUUUCCUUGCUGUUGUCCCUGUUGUUGAAUUUGUUGUUUAACCGCUUUGGAUGCUCCUUUCAAGGUUGGGCAAACGCAAAGGGGCUCUUCCUGGUGGAGCUCGUUACAGCACUGCUGGAGUAGAGGCGGUCUCUGCUGUGGACCCUGGGGGUUCUCCAUGUCGUCUUCAAAGUCAAACUCACCGUCGAGGGUCCAGCUAGGACCACUGCCAGACUGCAUUGCUUGCUUGUGGAGCCACUGCUGGCAAGCUUUUAGGUGUUGUGCUUGCUGAAACUCCUUCCUACAUUUUGGAAUCCUAAAUGGGCCGGCUGGGUUUGUUGCAUCAUCUUCGUCGAACUCGACCACCGUCCGGUAGAUGGAGGCAUUGGUGAGAAGGAAGAAGAAGGCGAGAGUUGCCGAGACGAGGAAGAGCUUGUUCGCCAUUAGUGUAUGUUUUUAAUCUUGUUUGUAUUGAUGAGUUUUGGUUUGAGUAAAGAGUUAAGCGGAUGAGUUAAUUUAUAGGUGAUAAAGGAGAUUUGCAUGGCGAUCACGUGUAAUAAUGCAUGCACGCAUGUGAUUGUAUGUGUGUGCUGUGAGAGAGAAGCUCUUAGGUGUUUGAAGGGAGUGACAAGUGACGAACAAAAACAAUCCUCCGCGUCUGCAUGCUUUGUGUAACGUGUAGCUAAUGUUCUGGCAUGGCAUCUUAUGAGCGAUUCUUUUUAAAAACAAGGUAAAAACUUAACUUCAUAAAUUAAAAAAAAAACGUUUAGUAAGUUGGUUUAAAAGGGGACGAGAGUCUAAAAAUUUUGGAGGUAGUGCCGUUGGGAAUAUAAAUUGGGAGAGCUUAAUCAGAAUUAUAGAAGUUAAAGUUGAUUUAGUCACGGUCAAUAUAAAUUGGGAAUUUGAGUCAAAAUCUUCCAAAUUCGGAAUCCGUCUUGUUACACCCGGUGGUAGGAGCCGAACGGUUUGAAAAUACUUGAAAUGUGGAUGUACAGGCUGGUUUAAUUUUAUGUUGAAUGGAUACAUGUCAAUCGAAUUAUAGGUACACAUUUUACUCUAAUACUAAAAUGUAACAUUUGUCUCAUCCUUACUCAAGAAUGGUAGCUCAUCCUUACUCGAGAACGGUAUGCCAGUCACUUUAACGUAUAUCUCAUGAAACUCAACUCUAACACUUAUUUCAUACCCAUAUCUAAAAUAAAGAAAACUGAAGAAAAACGGUCAAUAGCAUCAAUCCUUACAAAUAUAAUGCACUUGGAAACCUCACAUGAAAAUAACAAUAAAGAGGAGGUGAAUAAUAUAAGUAGUCCGAAAUGAAGUCUAUGGACUUAGAAAUAACAUUCCAAAUAUAUAUAAUUUAAUCAUAACAUGAAACAAACACAACACCUGAAAUGACAUAGAACAAAUUAGGGACCUAGUUAUAAGAUAAAGACUGGCACACCUCUUUUUUUUUUUGUUCAACUACUGGCACACCUCUAAUAGAAGCUUUCCCUAUGGAGGAUUCAUGUAUGUGACUAGAACCCACACACCGCCCGAAAACGCUUUCUUUAUUGACCUCAUUUACUACAGCUCAACCUGUCGACUUAGCGAAGAGGAAGAGCAAAGAUCAAGCUAACUAAAUUAGGGCUCUUGUUUGAUGAAACUGAAUGAAUGAAUCGAGAGAUGAAUGAGAUCUUCAUAAGCGAAUUAAGAAUCGACAAGGAAAGUUGCCCAAUAAAUAUUUGACAUUUCUUAAUUUUAAGGCCAAUUGGGCCAGUAACAUAUGGUAUUUUGACAGAUAUAUAGAUCCCAGAAUAAAUACUGAAUCAGCAAAAAUGAAAUCAGAGAGCUAAACGCUGAAGAAUCCACAUCUGCGUUCAAACAGUUCAUCCUUUACCUCAAAUAAACAAACUGCCAAAUCUUUUAAAUAUCUCAAACGUAAACAAAAUAUGAAAAAGAGUCUUUGGGACAAACAAAUCAAAAUGGUCUUGACAGCAUAUUGACCCUUGUAUGAUUGAAAGCCACUGAGACCCUCCUGCCAUUAACACAUCAAAUCUUAUAGACACACUUUGAGAAAAUAAAAAUCGUGAGGCCAUCUCAGUGUUAGUGACUCGCCAUGAAGUAAAGGCAUACCAGGAGAGUUUUGUCAAAAAGACAUAAGCUUAUUAGAUAAUUGGAGGGUUUAACUCUUAUAUAUCAUGUGCAGAAUUUAAUUGGUCAACAAAGCAAAUGGAACCAUCCGAUAGAUGUUUUAAAGAACAAGAGGUACAUUUGUAUAUAUGCAUUGGUUGAUACGUUUCUGCCAUCUGAAUUGCUUCUUCCUCAAAGAAGAAGCAAUCACCGAUGAAUGCUAAAGGAUUCAGGUCUAUAUUUGGCUUCUACUAGGCUUGUCUCUACAGUAGACUUUAUUCACAAAUGCAAACAACUUCAAGCAAGGCAAGUGACAGGACAGAUAAUGCUUAGAGAAAGAGAAACCGUUGAAAAGAAGCAGAAAGCACAACUCCCUUCGACUAAUUAAUCUAGGAUUUGCACUGACCAUAUUACUUCAAAGAUAGUUCCAUUUCAAGAAACAUAAACAGAACUUGAAUGAGAAAAAUCUAUGAUCAAAUUCAAAGGGAAAUUUGCAAGAGUACAAAGACAGAUUCAGCAGCACCUAGAAAACCCCAAUUGAUCUGCGUAAAAUCCCAAUUCUCUCUUCUGUUUACAAAAAAAAAUCACGAUCCACACUCUUUUUUGAUUUUCAAAUCAAAACAAAUAAUCAGCCCUGAAUUAUACAGUAAAAUCCCGAUCAAAACGGGUUAAUAAUUUUAUGAAAUAAUACAAAAAAAAAGAAACAGAUUGAGAUCGGCAAAACCUCGAUCAAUCAAUCAAUCAAUCAAACAACAUCGUCCUUCUUGGGUUUCCGAUAAUUCUCUUCGAUGUGCUCGAGGAUGACGCGAACAGUGUUCGUCAGCUUCUUUACAUCGGGAACGUUGUAAUUCUGUGCAACGUAUACACCAUAAGCCGUUCCCAUCGUGAACACCAAGCAGCUCUUCAUUAUCCCCAUCCCCCUCUCUACGCUCCGUACUAGUGUUCUAUUUGCACUUGUACUAUGAUACUUUAAUGGGCCUUCAAUAUUUAUUUCUAAGGCCCAUAGUGGGCCCAAAUCAAAUGAAACCGGCAUGCUCAUUUCCGUUGGUAGACAGAUUAAGAUUAAGGGCCAGAUUGGUUCAAAUGCAGCGGUUGCGGUUGCGGAAGUUUGUGGAUGCGGACGGUUGCAGUUUCUAGCGGUUUUAAGAGAUUUGUACGACUGGUAGUGCGGUUAAAUAUUGGUGCGUUUGCGGGUGACUUAUGACUGGUUAACUACCAAAUGCGGUAACAGUCAAAUAAUAAAUUAACAAUAUUUAUAUUUAAUAUAAUUAUAAAAAUAUCAAAAAGUCAUAAAAUUAUAAUAAAUAUAAAAUUUAUAUUUAGAAAGUUAUAAUUUUAAUUAUUAAAAAUUUAUUAAAAUUGUUUUUAUUAUAAAAUUUUAUAAUAUUAAUUAAAAUAUAAUAGAUAUAUUUUAAUAUUUUCAUAAUUUCAAUUUUAAUUUUUUUAUUAAAUAUUUUUACUUUUGUAUAUAUAUUGUUUAAAAAAAAAGAGAAAAAAUUAUCCUCCCGCAACCGCAAACGCUAGCUGGAGCCAACUUUUGAAUUUAUGAGAUUCAGAGCGGUUUGAAGUGGUUUAGAGCGAUUUGAGUGAUUGUUGCAAACCGCCGACAACCGCUACCAACCGCAAAAGCUGCGUUUGCGGGUGGUAGCGGGAAAACCAGUCACCCCAUCUUCUCGGUUCCUGAAAUCUUGUCUCUUUACUUGGGAUUUAAGACAUGAUCGACUGAUAGACAGAUUAAAUCUUCUCGGUUUGAUGCGUAUGUGAGACAUCUGUUUUUGAUGGUUGUCUGGUUGGGGUUGUUAUUGUACAUGUAGGCUUAUAAGGAAUGGCAAAGAGCACAUUCAAGGAAGAGCAUGACCUAGGUUUGGAUCCUACCUUUUUGUUCUCUUAGUUUUGUGUUUGAUUCUCAAGUAAACUUAUAACUUUUGGAUCUAAUGAUGAUUCUAUUUUCUGCCUUCAGAGAAAAGAAGUGUAGAGGCUGCUCGGAUUAGAGAGAAAUAUCCAGAUAGGAUUCCGGCGAGUGCUCAGUGUUUUACAUUACCUAAACACAUAUGUGAUUAGCAUAUUGUCUUCCUUUUCCAUGUUUGGACGAUCCCUUUGUGUUGCACUCAGCUUAAGCUCUUGUUAUGUUUCAUGGCCCAACAUCUAUAUCCUUUUUUUCUGUCUUGGGUGAUUAUGAACUUAUCAUAUCUUUGGCUAUAGUUUUGUAGAUAACAAUCUGGAUUUAUAUGUACUCCCAUUUAACAGUUGGUUAUUAACCUCUGAUUAGCCUCAUGCUUGUGAUAUUUUUAUAUUUGGGCACUGUAUCAACUCAACUACUGAACUUGUUUGAAUUCUAGUGUCAUAUUGGGAAGUGAUUAAUGAUUUUACAUGGUUACUUAAAAAGUAGUGACACUUGAGUGAUGAUCUUCACCCUUUUUUGUAUUUGUGUGGGAUCCGGGUGAUUGUUGAGAAGGGUGAGAAGAGUGAUAUACCAACCAUCGACAAGAAAAAUUAAGCAUAUUGAUUACUGUAAUCAAUAUACAUCUCCCUCGGACCUGACUUGUGAUUGACACAACUAAGCUUUUUAUCCUGGAUGCAGAUACCUAGUCCCAGCUGAUCUGACAGUGGGGCAGUUCGUGUAUGUCAUUCGCAAAAUAAUCAAACUGAGUGCAGAAAAGGCUAUCUUUAUCUUUGUCGACAAUGUUCUUCCUCCAACAGGUAGCACUGAUAAGCUCUUACUUACUGUGUAUUCAUGACUUCUUUAAUAUCAUCCUAAGACAUCUACUUUGAUAACUCUGGCAGGUGCGUUAAUGUCUGCUGUGUAUGAAGAGAAAAAGGAUGAUGAUGGUUUCCUCUAUGUCACUUACAGUGGAGAGAACACAUGUGGAUCUCCAUAGAGAUCUCUUGCUGGAUACUUCGUUUCUAUUUUACCUAUUUCGCCUGAGUAUUUCAUUUCUUAUUAUUAGUUAUCUAAGCAAAGCAGCCUAUGUACUACUUCUCUAAGAACUUUAAGAUGGCCGUUCAUGUGUACAGAGAACAUAAAAAUAAUGUAUAUAUAAUCUCAAAACCUACUUGAUUAUGUUUUCGAUUGACUUUCACUCAGUAAGCCGACAUAACAUGUUGCCGUGAGUGCCACUGUAGUUACAGAGGCAAAAAAGUCUUUAACUAAAUAGAACAGCAGUGGCCGGUUAUGGUACAAAAGGUCCCACAUUGUCGUUGACGGAGGGGGGGAAGAGACGGUCGCACCAUGUUGCCUUGUUCUACUAACUAGAUCUUACUAUGUCCAUGUUGAUUUUUGCUUCUUUAUGUUUAUUUGUCAAUCGUUAAAGCUUGCUCGGUUUUGUUAGAUUCGGGUUUAUUAUGGGCUUCCAACUCAAAACCAAUUGGCAAUUAGUGGAUUGGCCCUAACCUUUUAUAUAUUACUUAAUGUCCCAUUGAUUUUCCAAUGUGGGAUACAUAUCCCUUAAUAUUAGGAGGCCUUCUCGCCUUGAAUGAGAUAAUAUUUUUGAGGAUCAUUCAUAAAUACAUAAACCUAUUAAGGGAUAUGUAUCCCACAUUGGAAAAUCAAUGGGACAUUAAGUAAUAUAUAAAAGGUUAGGGCCAAUCCACUAAUUGCCAAUUGGUUUUGAGUUGGAAGCCCAUAAUAAACCUGAAUCUAACAUGGUAUCAGAGCCAGGUUCCUAAUAAGUUAAACCCCUAAUUAAUAUUAACCCUACCCGACCGGGUAUAUAGGUCGUAAUUGACUCGCUCGACCGAGUAUAACUGUCUUAAAAUUCCGAGAUUUCUGGCCGAUAAGAGCCAUCAUCUCGAGGAGGGGUAUUAAGGGAUAUGUAUCCCACAUUGGAAAAUCAAUGGGACAUUAAGUAAUAUAUAAAGGGUUAGGGCCAAUCCACUAAUUGCCAAUUGGUUUUGAGUUGGAAGCCCAUAAUAAACCUGAAUCUAACAUGGUAUCAGAGCCAGGUUCCUAAUAAGUUAAACCCCUAAUUAAUAUUAACCCUACCCGACCGGGUAUAUAGGUCGUAAUUGACUCGCUCGACCGAGUAUAACUGUCUUAAAAAGUUUCCAAGAUUUCUGGCCGAUAAGAGCCAUCAUCUCGAGGAGGGGUAUUAAGAGAUAUGUAUCCCACAUUGGCUCUGAUACCAUGUUAGAUUCGGGUUUAUUAUGGGCUUCCAACUCAAAACCAAUUGGCAAUUAGUGGAUUGGCCCUAACCUUUUAUAUAUUACUUAAUGUCCCAUUGAUUUUCCAAUGUGGAAUACAUAUCCCUUAAUACCUAACCAGUCACGUGAAACGUGAGACACGCGGUUGUGUCCUUGGGAAAAGAUAGGUACUUCGAAUAUUUAAGUGAAAGUUGAACGCAAGGGUUCAUAGCCAAAGAGUCUGUUAACUGAAUAGAUGGGGAUGCUAUCAUGUUAACGUAUGUGACAUGUCUAGUAGUGUCUUGAUAAGAAGAUGAAUGUCAUCUGAGUAUGACUUACGAAUGUUACGUCAAACUAUUGUGUUAUAUGCUCUACAUAUAUCUGGAUAAACUGCCGUUGAAAUUGUACAGUAAUGAUGGGUGACAAGGGUAACUGGGUAAGUAUAAUGUUUGUUAAUGGAAGAAGGAAAAUGAGAGAUUGACCCCACACGAAGACUCUUAAGUAGACAAAAAGUUUGGCCGAUCAAGACACACCACUAUACAUCAAUAGAUACGUAUAUGUAAUGCAGAAAUGAAUGUGAAUAUGUUUGAAAAAAUGGACAAGAGAGAAGGUAAAAGAACAAGAGAGGAACAAGAGCAUGUUAUGGCAAUGAAGGACCCCCCACCUGCAUUCAAUGCUUGUUUUACUCUCUUUACUCACUCCAUUAACUUUCUUCUCACUACAAAUACUCCUUCCCUCUCUUCUCUUCUCUUACACUCCAUAAACAUUUCAUACCAUCUUGAUCUCAUCUCUCAAUAUAGCCACAGUAUAAAUAUAGGUAUCUGAAAAGAAGAAAUAGAGAAGUUAUGCCUUGCUCUGUGAGGAGUGGAUUCAAGAUAGUGUUCUGUUUCAUUCUUCUGCUUUUGUCAUCCAAUAUUGGAUGUGCUAAUGCUCGUUGUUUAGGGCUUCACAAGCAUCAUCACAAGAUUCAUCACAAGGUUGCUUCCUUGGUACAAGAUGUUGUCAAUGGUGGAGGAAGGAAGAGGGUAUUGGGUGGAGUGGAGACAGGGGGAGAAGUAGUGGUCAUGGAUUAUCCUCAGCCUCAUCGUAAGCCUCCCAUCCACAACGAGAAGGCUUAAAUUACUCUCUAUACAUCAUAUGAAUCACCACACUGUUAUAUGCAUUCACCAUGCUGGUGGUUUUAAUGACACUCUUGAACUAUAUUCAUUACCAACUCCUUUUGUUCUCUCUUUCUUCGUUCUCUAAAACAAACAAGCUGCACCUCUUCCUUAUAAUAUAUUGUAUUUCAUGUGGAAUGUGCUUACUUUGAACGAACUCUUCAGACCGCCCAACCAGAAGAAAUCCGGUCUAAGUUUGGUUAUUGCCUCAUCCAGUAUCACCUAAAAGUUUCCCAAAACCCACCCAACUCAUUAGUGCUGCUCAAAUGUCAACAUAGUAAACCAUAUUUAAUUUUCACAUCAAAAUCAAUCCAAAAUGCCUAGAAAAAAGCCUAAACAUGAAGCAUUUCAUACAUAUCUCCACGAAAGGAACUUCCAACUCUAUGUUUACUUUCCAAUUAACAUUUUGUUCUGCACAGAUCGAACUGGAAUCCAAUGGUCUUUUUUAUUAUGAGAACACAAGCAGCAGAACUGAAUACUCAAAAGGGAAAACUCACUAAUACUUAAAAGAUGAUUUUGAAAGAAUGAUGUGUCACAGACACAGUAGGAUGAAUAGUGUUUUUGUCUGAAGUGGGCCACUUCUGCAUAAGAGAAGGAGGAAUACACAUCAAUGCAGUAGGGUAUGAGCCUACUAAGAUUAUUUCUGCACACUCAACAAAAAUAACGCCAUUUAAGUCUCUAACUGCUAGUAUUAGCAGUUCAAAGAAAGGGCUGUUUGCGAUAUAAUACGUGGCAGCGUCAGCGUCAGCAUCUGCGAAACGAACAACAACUGUCUUUAGUGACGCUGCCGCCGCCACGCCGAAACCUGCGGCAACCAAACUAACAGGCAUCGGACCGUAAAAAAAGAGGUUCUAGUUUUUCACAAGUAACGGCAAAAAUACUAGAGAAAAUGAGUGGUACAAACAGAAGCUGGCUCACAAGAAAAAACUUUAAGUAAUUUUGGGCCCGUAUCAAAUGCAAACUGUGUUAAAAUGUACUACACCUCCAUUACAGACUUAAAAGAAACAACCCAAAAAAAACUAGCUGUCAGACCUUCGGGGCCUCUGUGACAAUUAGGACAUGCAUGUCUGGGAAACGCUUGGUAAGCACAUGUGUGGUAAAGGGAAAACUCUCUGUAACUAUUUAUGAACACAGAAGACAACAUAAAACUGUUUGUCUAGGAGAAGAAAACACAAGUGGGCAGAGGUUAUUAUCAUGCUAAUCCUCAUAUCUUACACAUGUCUAAUAUAUAAUUAAUAGUGUAGCAGCAACGAGCAAGUACCAAGAGAUAAUCACCAGAGCAUGGCAAAGUCGGUCAGCUUCAGACAGAUUUGAUUCUACAACGGAAAUAAAAGUUUAAUUGACGUCUCCUCAGGAGCAAGUCUCUACACAAAGAUUAGAGAAAGCCUGUCAACAGAGGGAAGCAAGGUAUAACCUUCAAUAUCACCAUUAUAUAAAAAAGAGGCACUGACGAUUAAAUCGUUUCUUUGGGAUCUUGCCCUCGUUUAGAGAAUAAAGAAAGUUCUUCACUGCAUCAUCAGCGUUAAAUCUAGCAGAGUACUGCCAUAGAAAAAAAAAUAGUAGGUGGUCAGAUGAAUACAGUUAAAAACGAAUUAAAUGUGAGAAUAUAUGCUAGGAACCAUUAGGAGCACCUAAACAACAACCACAUAGUAUUUAGAGUUGUUGCGAUCACUGCAAUCCAAAAUGUUUGAUGAAACUUGAAUAUUAACCUGCAUUAGUAAACAUUUGGUGAUACGAAAAGAAACCACCUUCAAUGGCAUAGAUACACUUUGCCUUUGCAACAUGAUUCAACAAGUGUAACAUGAAACUCUAUCCGAGGGAAAAAAAUAAAUAAAUGAAUCCAAGGAUGAAAAUGCUCUUGCAGAGAUGUGGACAGAGGAAGAGCCGAGAACGUUGCGGCGAGAUUCAAGAGUCCAGUCGUAGUAAUUGGGCUUUCAAAUAUUAAACCAGGAGUCAAUAUCAUAUAUUUGAGCGUCAAUCAAUUCCAUUAGAGUCUUCUGUGAUUGUAGAUUUUCUUCAAGUAAGUUGGCUCGAGCUCAACACCAAGUCACCAACUAUCAACAUACUUUAACCUUGGUCCAAAAAUCUUCUGUGACUGUAGAAGGGCCUGAUGUAACAGCAGCGGUUACGAUUGCGGUUAUGGGAGUUUGCGGAUGCGGGUGGUUGUGAUUCUAAUCGGUUUUAAGAAAUUCGUACGAUUGGUACUGCGUUAGAAACUGGUACGUUUGCGGGAUACUUAUGACUGGUUAGCCACCAAAUACGACAACAGUUAAAUAAUAAAUUAAUAAUAUUUACAUUUUAUAUAAUUAUAAAAAUAUUAAACAUUAUAAUAUUAUAAAAAAUAUAAAUUAUAUAUUUAUAAAAUUAUAUUUUCAAUUUUUUAAAAUUAUAGAAAAUAUUUUUAUUUUGAAAAUUUAUAAUAUAAAUUAAAAUAUGAUAGAUAUAUUUUAGUAUUUCUAUUAUUUCAAUUUAAUAUUUUAUUUUUAUUUUUAUUUUUGUAUUUAUAUUUAUAUUGUUUUAAAAAAACGAAAAAAAAUUUUACCCUCCGGCAACUGCAAACGCUAGAUGAAACCAACUUUUGAAUUUAAGAGGUUUAGUUUAGAGCAAUUUGAAGCGGUUUAGUGUAGUUUGAGUGAUUGUUGUAAAACGCUAACAACCGCUACAAACCGCACAUGCUGCAUUUGUGGGUGGUAGCAAGGAAACCAGUCAUGCCCUAAGUCUGGCUACUCCCGAUGCAGUAGGAUCUCAUAUCUGUUUAGCCGGUGCGAUUCCACGUUGGCCCAAAUCAACAAAUAUGGGCCCAUUUGGUGCCCACUGCAUUACUUUACAAUGAUGACUCUUUGGACAUUACAUGUGUAGUACAUCCACCGUAUUCUACAACGUUAUAAAAAUAUUAAACAUUAUAAUAUUAUAAUAAAUAUAAAUUUAUAUUUAUAAAAUUAUAUUUUCAUUUUUAAAAAUUAUAGAAAAUAUUUUUAUUUUAAAAAUUUAUAUUGUAAAUUAAAAUAUGAUAGAUAUAUUUAAUAUUUCUAUUAUUUCAAUUUAAAAUUUUUAUUUUUGUAUUUAUAUUGUUUUUAAAAACGAAUUUUUUUUACCCAUCCAUAACUGCAAACGCUAGAUAAAACCAAUUUUGAAUUUAAGAGGUUUAGAGCGGGUUGAAGCGGUUUAGAGGCCCUGUUCGUUUGCUCACCCACGUGAUCCAUCUAGGUGAAGAUGCAAACUGAUGUUCGUUUUGUGCAUUAUAAUGUUAUAUCCAGAUGGAUCACCCAUCUGAAUAUUUAAAAACUCAUCUCAAAUUCUCACUCAAAUGAAGGUGAGUGUUGAUGGUGUAUCUGGAUGCAGAUGCAUCUAGCUCAUUCCAAAAUGAUAAAUGACAAAAAUGAUCUUUUAAAAUAAAAAUAUUAUUUUCAAACCAUAAAUUCUAUUUUUUUGCAUAUACAUUUUUUCGCUAUAAGCAAAAAAUGCAUUUUCUCGCAAAAACUGAAAAACACACUUUCCAGCCAAAAUCACAAGAUGCGUUUUUCCGUAAAAAACAUAAAACACACAUUUUUCGGCUAAACCAGUAAAACCACACUUUUCGACCAAAACCGAAAAAUGCAUUUUCCCAUCAAAGCAAAAAAAAACGCAUUUUCCCGCCAAAACCCAAAAAACGCAUAUUCCCGCCAAAACUCCAAAAAGCAUUUUCCGGCCAAAACCGCAAAAAGCAUUUUCUCUCUAAAACCGGAAAAACGCAAUUUCCCGCCAAAACUGGAAAAAACGCAUUUUCUCGCAAAAACCGGAAAACACAAAUUUCCCGCCAAAACCGGAAAAUGGAAUUCUCCCGCCAAAACCGAAAAUGCAUUUUCCCGCUAAAACCGGAAAACACAUUUUCCCGUCAAAACCGAAAAACACAUUUCCCGCUAAAAUUGUAAAAACGCAGUUUUCCGCCAAAACCGGAAAAAACACAUUUUCUCGCUAAAACCGGAAAACGCAUUUUUUCUGCUAAACCGGAAAAACGCAUUUUCCCGCUAAAACCGAAAAAACACAUUUUCCCGCCAAAACCGCAAACAAAACUUUAGAACAAAUUUUUUCCGUCCAAACCGCAAAAACGUAUUUUUCCGCCAAACCCGAAUGUAUUUUUCCGCCAAAACCAUAAAAAUGCUUUUUUCGCGAAAAACACAUUUUCUCGAAAACCGCAAAAAUAUUUUCGGCCAAAAUCGUAAAAAUGCUUUUUUUUCGCCGAAACGUAAAAAAUUAUAUUUUAGUCAUUUUAUUAACAAGUCCAUCUGGUUGCAGAUGGAAGUUGAAAAAUGAAAAGCAAACGAACAAAGUUUCAUUCAGAUGAUUCAUCUGGAUGCAUGGACGAAAUGAAGAAACGAACAACUCUCAGAUGGACCAUCUGGAUAAGACAUCUACAUGGACCAUCUGGAUGCAUCUUCUAAAUGUACAAACGAACAGGGCAAGAGUGGUCUGAGUGAUUGUUGCAAAACGCUAACGACCGCUAUAAACCGCAAAAGCUGCGUAUGUGGAUGGUAGCGAGGAAACCAGUCAUGCCCUAACUCUGGCUACUCCCUAUGCAGUAGGAUCUCAUAUCUGUUUAGCCGACACGAUUCCACGUUGGCCCAAAUCAACAAAUCUGGACUCGUUUGGUGCCCACUGUAUUACUUUACAAUAAUGAUUCUUUGGACAGUACAUGUGUAGUACAGCCACCGUAAGUAAGUUAUGUACCUUACACCACGUGGAUGAAAUCCAUUUGUUGGUGUUAAAAGACAAUAGACCAUUGGACUCUUCUUAAAUUUCUAUAAAUAAAUCCCAGCCCGACGACAACGUUAAGACUAGCGAAAAAAAAAGAUAAAAACAAAAACAAAAACAAAAAAUGAUGAAGUGUUUGAUAUGUCUCUCUCUUAUUCUCCUCCCUCUCAUCUCCGUCAUGAAGGUAAUCUCGGUGGCUGAAAGCAGAUUGAUUUAUCUGAUCUGAACAUCCAAUCGCUCGCCAACUAUGCAAUUAAUGAGCAUAACAUGAAAUCUAAGGUGAACCCUGUGUUUGUGAAGAUCGUCGAGGAGAAGGAGCAAAUGGUUUCCACGAAGAAGUACAAUCUGACCAUUACGGCGAAGGAUGGCGGUGGCACCACAACGAACUACGAGGCCAUCUUGGUGGAAAGGGCGUGGGAUAAUUACAGGAGCCUUGAGUCAUUCAAGGCCUUAUAGAUCUAAGUUUUUUUAUUUUUGUAAAUAAAAGCUCGAUAUGGAUCAGAUAUUACAAUAUAUGUAGGUUUCGAUGAUUUGAGAUUUUCAUACUGUGUGUCCGUUGUUUGUUUUCUUUUGAAUAAAAACUAAAUUAUAGAUAUGUUUCUUUCUAUGAUUCAUAUAAAAUUAAUAAUGAUAAAAAAAGAAAAGAUCAAGUGGAUUUGCUCUUAGCCUGUAAACUAUAUGUUACUUUAAUUCAAAUAUAAUGCAUGGCAAGUUGUCAAAUCAUUAACCCCAAAUUGACGAUGUACAGGCCUAAUAUUUGCAUGCAAAAUGUUCUAUGGUUUUUUUUUUAGAAAUCAGUAACACAAUUUGAGAUUAAAACAUUAUUCGUAUCUCUUUUUUGGGCGUUGGAUUUUAAAAUCUACUUGUCAAUUAAGUUUUUUUUUUGUCAUCAUAUACUUGUGAAUUAAGUAUGACAGAAUCUACUCCCUUAUCUAACUUAUUCUACUUAUUUUACAUUCGAUAUAAGAAAUUAUUAAUUAAAUUAAAAAAAUAAAAUAUUUUGGAAAAGGUUUUGGGCUUACAAAUAUUAUCAGGAGGUAAUAACAUACAUUUAAGCCUCAGUCAUGGGUGUUGGGUUCAAACAAGAGAUCUGAAUUUUAGCUGUCAAAAAAAAAAGAAGAGCCUCAGUCAAUUCCAAUAUGAAACUUUUGAUUCGAGCUCAUGACCAACUAUCAAAUACUAUACCUUGGUCUAAAAAUCUUAUGCGACUAUAUAAGUAUGCUCUUGAGAUUUAUAAAGUAAACUAUGCGUUUUCCAGUACUAUGUGCAGUAAUAAAAUUAUUACAUUUAAAUUAUAUCUAAAAUAAAAUUUAUUAUUUUAGAUUUUAUUAUUUUCUUAUCAAUAUUUUAAUAUAAUUUUUUAUCUGAUUGACCAUAAGACUUAAAUAAAAUAAACUGUUUUUAUUUAUUUUAAAUUAUAUUUAAGAAUAGAUAUGUAUAUAUUUAAAAUUAUGAUUUUAGAUAGAUUUUUAUCUAUUUUUUAGAUAAAAUAUAUUAAAUCAACUUGUAUAAUAUUAAUAAAAAAUUAAUACAAAAAUGUAUAAUUACCAAAAAGUACAAAUAAACAAUAUUUUUAAAAUGUAUAGAUAUAUAAAGGAAAUUAAUAAUAUUAUGAUUUAAAUUUUAUAUUUUUAGAAUAAAAUUGGAAAGAAUUUGAAAAUAUUUUUAGCAGUAAAAUUGUGUAGUGAUAACAAAUAAAAAUAAAUAAUAUUUCAAAAAUUGAAAAACAUUAUUUAAUGUCAUAUUUGAAUACAUUAAUGAUGAUGUAUACUUUACUAUCAUAUUCUAAAAAGUUUAACAAAAAUAUAAAUAAAUAUUAAAUGUAAUAAUCCAUAUCAUAUUUAACCAUAACCAUGUCAUUAUUUCUGUUAUGCUAUGAAACUGAUUGUAAAAAGAAUAACUGAUUGUAAAGAGAAUAUGUAUCAAAAUCACUUUGUAAAUAAUGUCUGGAGACAACGUCGUAAGAUCUUUUACCUUGUUUAGACGAUGUGAGUCAACGUUGGACCAAAUCAACAAAUCAUAGGAUCUCAUACCUUUUUAGCCGAUGCGAGUCAACGUUGGACCAAAUCAACGAAUCUGGCCCAUUUAGUGCUCAUCACUGCAUUACUUAACAAUGAUGACUCUUAGAUAGUACAUGUGUAGUACAGCCACCGUGAAGCCACGUGGAUGAAUCCAUUUGUGAGUGUUAAAAAACAAUAGACCAUUGGGCUCUCUUUAAAUUUCUGGAAUCUCUAUAAAGAGAGAUCCCAACCCGACAACACCAAUACAACAACACCAAUAAGACUAGCCAAAGAAAACAAUAAGAACAAAAAAAAAGAUGAAGUGUUUGAUCUGUCUCUCUCUUAUCCUCCUCCCUCUCAUCUCCGUCGUGGAAGGUAAUCUUGGUGGCUGGACGCCGAUCAAGGAUUUAUCUGAUCCCAACAUCCAAGCAGUAGCCAAGUACGCGGUCGAUGAGCAUAACAAGCAAAUUACGGGGAAUCUUGUGUUCGUGAAGAUCCUCAAGGGAAAGGAGCAAGUGGUUGCCGGGAAGACGUACAGUCUGACCAUCGCGGCAAAGAAUGGAGGUGCUGGGACAAAGAACUACGAGGCUGUCGUGGUUGAAACGAUGAGGAGUCAUCACUUCGGCCUGCAGUCAUUCAAGGCCUUAUAGAUCUAAGUUUAAUUUUUGUAAAAAAAAAUCGACAUGGAUCAGAUAUAUUAUAAUAUUAAUAUUUAUAGGUUUUGAUGAUUUGAGAUUUUGAAAUUGUGUGUCCUUGUUUGUUUUCUUUUGAAUAAAAACUAAAUUAUAGAUAUGUUUCUUUCUAAGAUUCAGUUAGAGACUCAAGAGACCUGUUGUGUUACUUUGGACUACUAUCUAAUUUCGAAAAUUUGGAUUUGAAUCGGUCGAUACGACAAUGUGUCAAUGUGAUGAACGGCACGUGCGUCGUUCCUGACUUUUGGCUUAACUGUAUCUGUCUGUCCUUAACUCGAUCGUUAUUAGCUGUACCGGAGAGAUCAACACGUUCGUAUUUUUGAGGAAUGACCGGUAAACAUUCACAUUUAAAACGCAACUGGUUAUUAAUUUGACAUGUUUGAUUUAGAUUUAGGUGAUGUUGAUAUUGAUACAGUUUUUGAAGGUUUCGCCAAACUUGAUGAUGAGUCUGUGGCUUCUUUUCUCGUGUGAUGAUGAUGAAUCAAUGAUUACUAUAUAGUACUGACUAGUUCGUUUGUAAUUUGAGGAGAGUCCGGUUUUAUCACGGAUCAGUUAAGCUUCUUCGGUAAUGAUAAGAGUUUGAGUUGUAUUAUUCUAGUAUUCUGUUUUGUAUUUUGUAGUUCGUAUAUAAUUUGAAUUUUGAGGAGAGUACAGUUUGGAUCAGUUUAUUUCUCUGAUGAGACAAACCUGGUCCAACUCAAUCGGUAAUGAUAUAGUUUGAGUUGUAUUAUUCUUAGUUCAAUUUUUUUAGUAUCGGUUCCAAAAUCGUGAAAUCUUUUUUUAAUCAUUACUAGGUGAUGAUCCGCUCCCUGCGCGGAGUGAAUAGACUAAAAAAGUUUGUAAUUUUGAGUCUAUAGAUAUUUAGAAAGCAAAAGUUAUGGUAUCAUAUAUUACAUGUUAUACAAUGAUGGAUUGGAGUAAAUUGCUUAUGUUUAUAUAAGGUUAAUUACUUAAACUGUUAAAAACUUGUGUUAUUGGUUAGAUGUAAUCGAAGUUUUUCUGUGGAAGUAAAUACUUAUGUAAACUUAGUUAUGGUAUUAAGAUAAAAAAGUUUAAUUAUUGCUUUCAUAAGAUUAAACGAAACACAUAUAAUAUAAUAAUAAAAUGUGAAAAUCAUAACUUAUGAGGAAAAGUUUUUAAGGAAAAUGAAAAAACAACAACUGCUGUGGAAAGUAUUUUCAGAACUCUCAGUUUGCAAUCAUAUAAAGAGUAAUAUCAUAUAAUAUAAAUUAUCAAAAUAAAAAGAAUUAUAAAUUGGAACUCAUUAAACGAAAUGUAUUACCUUUAAAAAAAAUGUAUUACCUUUUUCUGAAAGCAUCGAUUUCUACAUCAUAGGGCUCAAACACAACUUUGGAAAACCCAUCAAUGUUAAGUUCUUGAAUCGACCUUAUCAUCAUAAUGUAAAUAAUUUGAGAAAAAUAUGGAAAUAAGAUCAGCUCGACCGCUUUUAAAAUAUAUAUAUAUAUAUAUAUUAAAGUACAUUAUCUUUUCCCCAAUUAAUUUGCCAAAACUGUAAAACACAGAGUACAAUGUCUGCAUUUGUCGAAUCCCAUAAAUCUUGGAAAGCGUGAGCAAAUGUUCCAUAAGCAACACACUUAAUGAGGACGUUCCCGUAAGUUGUGAAAAAAAAAGUUCAACACAUAUGCUAUCAACCAAAUUUGUCAAUUAUGUUUGUGAAUGUCGACUACUUACUCCAUAUCUACUACAAAGAAACAAAUUUUAUGAUCAAGAAAACCAUUGUUCUCGUCUUCGUUCAUAUAUUCUUCAAGAAAUCCUACUCCUACCACAGCCCCGUAAAUAUUGGUUUCAUAUGAGAAAAUCAUGUACUCAUUAUUAGACAGUCCUCACUAAAAUGUUCAUAGAUUCAUUGUAACUUGGUAACUUUCAAAUUAUAAUAAAUUUGACAGAAUAGAAAACAUACCAAUAGAAAAAUUAGGAUGGGCUAGGCCAUGAUAGACGUCAAUGAAGUUUGAAAAACAAUAACAGUUGGACUUCAGGAUUGGAUCGAUCUUCAAAACUAUAGAGGAGUUAUUGAGGUUAAGAUGAAAUCGGUUCUUUUACAACCGAACACGCUCUGUUGUAGGAUUCAAACUGAUUUUUUUUUUUUAUUUUAAAGCAGUUACCUUCCUCCAGAGGCAUUUCGGUUGAAGAAUCCAAAUCUUCGAGAAAAUUGGCUUGCAUGGUAUUUCCCUGUUUGAGAGACGUAAAAAUGAGUUAGUAAAAACUAAAAACAUUAACAUAACGGAUACAUGUAAGUUAUAACAAUAAAAAAAAAGAAUCAUGACAAUUACUCGUAUCCCUUAUUAGAUAAGGAAAUUACCUAACGGGGUUAUACGCUCCUUUGUAAAUGUUAUGAGAAGGAGACGGUGAUGAAACAAUGAAGGUAUGCGACCUUAUUUUUAUAUGGAUAGUUGAACGUAUUAGGGUGGAUUUGCGUAGAUAAUCGUCUUCUUAAUUAUCGGAAUUCAAAUUAAUCCUUGAAUAUCAAGUACUUGCCUUAAAACACAUCCAUGCGAAUCACUUUCCCUAUUAUAGGAAACAAACUGUAAAUCUGGUCAACUUAAUAAAAAAAUUAAUCAAUCAGCAUCUAUUUAAAAUACAUCUAAAUAAAGUUUCGACAAUGACUUUCCUUAACAAAUUUGAAUUAUAUUAAUAACUAUAUAUAUUACCGAAAUAUUGAUAUAUUUAGCUUUAUACAUUCCAAUUUUGUAAUAUUAGGAAGAUCGUGGAUUAUGGCAAGUAUCACGUGAUUGACAAUACCCAGCUCCAUCUUUGUAGGGUAAGUGUCGUCGUAUUCACGUACUUUUUAUAUGGAAAGUCGCACGUAUUAAGGUUGUACUAGAUUUUGACCCGCGCAGGCGCGCGGGUGUAUAUUUUGAAAAAUAUGUUGAUAUUUGUUUUUCAUGUAAUUAUUAGGAUUUGGAAAAAUGAAUCCGAGGAACAUAACCGAUACCGAUCCAAAGAUAUAGUACCAAACCCAAACAUAAAUUGAUUAAAUAUUCUAAUUAUUCAAAAUUUUGUUAUUUAGAGAACCGAAUCUGAUCCGAACCGAAGUAUUUGGGUAUCCGAAUUUAUCUAAAAAUAGAUUUAUAUACUUAUAUAUAUUAAUUAUUUUUAGAUUUAACGUAUAUAAAACAUCAAAAAUGAUACUUUUAAAUUGGUUUAAAUACUUGAAAAUAUAUAUAGAUAGUCAAAAGUAAAUAUCUGAAAUAGUUAAAGUAUACUCAAAUCACCAAAAAUACUUAAAAUAAUUAUUGAUUUCGUAUCCAAAAUUUUAAAUCAAGCCAAUUGAUAUGUUAAGCUUAAGUAUUAUGACAUAUGUUAUUCAAAUUUAUACGUAAUAUAUUAUUUUAUUUAUACAUUUUGAGAAAUUUAAAAUAUAUAAUGAUUUAAGACUUUAAAAAUAAUUUAAAUUAGUUAUCCAAACCCAAACCAAACCCGCAAAGAUCCAAAUCGAACUCAAACCAAAAUUUAGAAACAUUCUAAUAAGGCUGAAAUCUUUGACCCCGAAAACCCAAAAUACAAACCGAUCAGAACUAAACCCGUAUGGGUAUCCAAAAGCCCAUCCCUAGUCAUUAUUAUAUAUCGUAUUUUAUCAUCAUAUAAUUAAUCGUAUUUUAUAUGUACCAUCAUAUAAGUAAUCAUAUAAUUAAUAGUAUUUUAUACAUACCAUCAUAUAAAUAAUUACAUAUAUUAUAUUUUUAAAACUUAAUAUGAAAUAUGAAAACCAUAAUUUGAGUUGGUAUUUCAAAUUGGGCUUUGUAUUAUAUUUUUCUUAUAUAUAUUGACAAUAUUUUUUUAUAAUGGUUAUUGAAAAAUAGUUUAGUAAAAAUCCAUUUUUGAAUAUAUGUAUAUUUUUGAAUCAAUUUUUGAUAUAAAUCAAAUUUGAAUUAUUAUUUUGAUUUGAAAUAUGUAUAUAAAGUUUAAAUUUUGUUUUAUGGUUAGUUUAGAAAAAAAAAUUUUAGGGAAUUAGAUUGACCCAUUUUGGUAUAUUUUAAAAGUGGCCUAGAUAACUUUCAAUUUUUUAAAAAAACAUAAGCCCAUUACUUUUUUUUCUUAAUACUACUAUCCUUGUUUUCAAACAAAAUUUUUUUUUUUAAAAGACUGCAAUCCAUGUUUCCAAACACUCCAAAUUUUUAAAAAUCCUAUUCAAGUCUCCAAACACUCCAAUUUUGUACUUGAGUUUUAAUAAGAUAGAUAUUCGAAAACGUAUGUGCCAAAAGCCUGCAAUCAUGAAAUAUAAUUAUAUUUACAAUAAAGAUCCAUAAAAUGAAACUUAUACUAUAUGUUUGUGCCAAUGACAUGACAUGUAAAUAUGUAAUUACCCUAAGCUAAAGAUGACUAUUAAAAAAAUGAUAUGAGGUGAAAUGUGGUGUUGAAACAUAAGUAAUGGCAAAGUUGUUAAUCACACAUGAAGCCAAUGUUUAUUUUAAAAAGUUAUCCUCGAAUAAUAAGAAGGGGAUAUGUCUUUUACACUUUUUGCUAUCGUGUUUGUCUAUUUCUAUUGGUUAUUGUGUUUGGACAAGUCCUAUCUUCAUCUUCAGUUGCUAAGCAGUGAACUUCCCCUUGUAAUACUAAGUCUUUACAGACCUGAUGCCCUAUGAACAAAACAGUCUUUACAGACACUGAGCUUAAUGCCUAUUCCCUUUUGUCUCUCUGUCUAGGUGAUUAUGAACUUAUCAUAUCUUUGCCUAUAGUUUUGUAGAUAGCAUCUGGCUUUAAAUGUACACUCGACUAAACAGUUGGUUAUCAAGAUAUUAACAUCUGAUUAGCUUCAUGCUUGUGAUUAUAUAUAUAUAUACUAGUGUCACAUAACGACAGUAAGACUUACGAACGUGUUUGUUCUUUUUUGAAAUGUAGCUUUCGAAAACUAUAGCUUACUCACUCCAUUAACUUUUUAUUCUUACUGCAAAUACUCCUUCCCUCUUCUCUUCUCUUCUCUUACACUUCAGAAACAUUUCAAACUAUAUUCAUCUUGCCCUCAUCUCUCCACAUAUAGACACAGUCUAAAUAGAAGUAUGUUGAGAAAUAUAGAGGUCAUGUCUUGCUAAUGUGAGGAGAGGAUUUGCGUUAGUGUUCUGUUUCAUUCUUCUGCUUUUGUCAUCCAAUAUUGGUUGUUCCAAUGCUCGUCGUCUAGGGUUUCACAAGCAACAUCACAAGGUUGCUUCUUCAGCACAAGAUGUUGUAAAUGGUGGAGGAAGGAAGAGGGUAUUGGGUGGAGUGGAGACAGGGGGAGAAGUAGUGGUCAUGGAUUAUCAAGCCUCAUCAUAAGCCUCCCAUCCACAACGAGAAGGCUUAAAAUUACUCCAUCUCUCUAUACAUCAUAUGAUCACCACACUGUUAUAUGCAUUCACCAUGCUGGUGGUUCUAAUGACACUUGUGCUAUAGUCACUACCAACUUCUUUUGUUCUCUCUUUCUUCGUUCCAUAAAACAAACAAGCUGCUGCACCUCUUCCUUAAUAGUAUACUGUAUUUCAUGUGGAAAUGUUGCUUACUUUUAGAACGAACUCUUCACCAUCAUUUUAGCUCUAAGUAGCUUCAGAAAAAACUUUACACACUUCUGCAUAAGGAAAGGAGGAUAACAUGAUCAAUGCACUUGGGUAAGAGCCUAAGAUUAUAUAUGCACACUCAACGCCAUUUAAGUCUCUCUCUGCCUAGUAUUAGCAGUUCAAAGAAGUAUCAUCAAACGCUUGGCAAGCACAUGUGUGUGAAAGGGAAAACUCUCUGUAACUAUUUUAUGAACACAGAAGACAACACAAAACUGUUUGUCUAGGAGAAGAAAACACAAGUGGGUAGAUGUUACUCUUAUGCUACUCUCCAUGUCUUAAUAUGUAAAUAAUUGUGUAGAGACUAUAGGAGUAGCAAUGAGCAAGCAUCAAGAGAUGAUCACUAGAGCAUGGCAAAGUCGGUCACCUUCAGAAAUAUGUGAUUCUACAACGGAAAUAACGGUUCGAAAACAAAAACGUACCGGUAUGCUUGUCUUAAUACACUUAUACAAGUAACAGCACUGUGCUUAAACCCAGUCAGUUUUAGUUGACGUUUCCUCAGAAGCAAGUCUCGCUACAACAAAAAGAUUAGAGAAAGCCUCAGCAGAGAGAAACAACAUUUAUAGACUUUCAUAUGAAGAUCAUAUAAAUAAGGAGGAGCACUGACAAUUAAAUCGUUUCUUUGGGAUCUUGCCCUCGUUUAGUGAAUAAAGAAAGUUCUUCACAGCGUCGGCAAUGAAUCUGGCAGAGUACUGCCAUAGAAAAAAAUAUUGUACGUAUGGAUACAGUAAAAAAGACAAUAUAAAUAUGCUAGGAGCCAUUAGGAGCACCUGAACCAUAACCACAUUGUAUUUUCAGUUGGUGCAAUCACUGCAAUCCAAAAUAUCUGAUGAAGCUUGAGUAUUUACCUGUGUUGUUAACUUCGUAAUUUGGAGUCUCUCCAUGCCUCCGCAGCUGCAGUCUCCUCCAUGCGGUCGUGUCUACUGUAAAUAAGAAAAGGCCAGGGUAAUCUGAGCCGUUGAUUUGAGUUUUGAUUAGGAUAUUAAAUCUAGAACCUUGGAUCAGGCUUUGGGCAUACAAAUAUUUUCAGGAGGCAAUAACAUACAUUUGAGCCUCAAUCAAUUCCAUUAGAGUCUUUCUGUGAUUGUAGAUUUUCUCGAGUAAGUUGGCUGAGCUCAAGACCAACGAUCAACAUAUACUUCACCUCGGUCUAAGAAAUCUUCUGUGACUCUGUGUUUAAUUUGAACUAGGAUUUUGAACCGUUCAUAAGUUUGCUCCCGAGAUUAUGAAGCAAACGACGGCGUAGGAUCUCAUAGGACUACUCCGAUCUGGACCCAUUUAGUGCUGACUCCAUUACUUAACAAUGACGCUUCUACACUACACGUGUGGGGACAGCCACAGUUGACUCUAUCACGUGUACUUGUCGUACGCCACGUGGAUGGAUCCAUUUGUCUGUGUCAAAGACAAUAGACUUGUCACCACGUAAGACCUAUUGGGCUCUCCGUAAAUUUCUUGACUCAUCUAUAAAAGGGACGACACCAUUAAGACUCGAGAAAGAAAAAAAAAGACAAGAACAAAAAACAAAAACAAAAAAUGAUGAAGUGUUUGAUCUGUCUCUCUCUUAUCCUCCUCCCUCUCAUCUCCGUCGUGGAAGGUAAUCUUGGUGGCUUAGGUAAUCUCGGUGGCUGGAAGCCGAUUGAUUUAUCUGAUCUGAACAUCCAAUCGCUCGCCAACUAUGCGAUUAAUGAGCAUAACGUGCAAUCUAAGGCGAACCUUGUGUUCGUGAAGAUCGUCGAGGGGAAGGAGCAAGUGGUUACCGGAAAGAGGUACGAUCUGACAAUCGCGGCGAAGGAUGGCAGUGGCGCCACAAAGAACUACGAGGCCAUCGUGGUGGAAAGGCCGUGGGAUCAUUACAAGAGCCUUGAGUCAUUCAAGGCCUUAUAGAUUAGAAUCGAUAUAUUAUAAUAAUUUGAAGGUUUGAUAACUUGAUAAUUUGAGAUUUUGAUAUUAUGUUUAUUGUUUUUUGGAAUAAAAUCUAAAGCAUAGAUAUGUCUCUUAUUUGAGAAGAUCUUUGCGCGUUACUUUGAGCUUCUAUCUAAUUUAAUUAUUUUGGGUUGAAUCAAUCGAGAUGACAAGUUGAUGAACGGGUGCAUUGAUUCGUGACUUUUGGCUAGACUGAACCCGAAAAUUCGACCAAUAAAAAUAAAUUGGUUAUCCGAACCGAUUUAAAGAUCCACAGAUUAUGGGUUUUAUGACCAACCCAAAUGGGCAUCGGAAAAACUUUUUUUUUUAAAUGACAAAAAGGUAAUUUAUCUGAACCGAAUUCAAUAUCCGAAAAAAUUUAAAAAUUUUGAAAUGGCAAAAAAAUAAAUCCAAAUGGAUAUACAAAAAAUUUAAAAAAUUAAAAUGACAAAAAUCUGAUUUCAUUCUUAAUAUGUAUCUAAAAUAUACUAAGAUAUUAUUAAAUAUCUGAAAUAAUUUAUCUAUUGCAUAAAUAAUUUAAUACAUAGUUUUGGUAUUUGGUCAAUAUUGAUAUUUGUAUGUUUUAACAAUCGCAUCUGAAAUUUAAAUAAAUUUGUUUAUAAAGUUUAUCCAAUAUUCUUUAGUUAAAUAGUGUUUCUUAGAUUUAUAAAAUCUAACAGUUAAUUUUAAUUUAUUUACGUUUAUUAUGCAUGAUUUUCAUCUUUAUACAAGACUUUAGUUAUUAUGAUGUUUGAUAUUGUCACAUCAUAAGAAAGAGUCUCGUAAGAUUGAUAGUCGAGUCUCCCAAUUUCACAAUAAUAUAGUUAAAUGAACAUUGUAAUUAAAAACUAUAUAAUUACAAUAUUGUAAAUGAACAUUGUACACAAAUUUAUUGAAAAUAUUAAAAAUAUAUUCAGUUUAAAAUUAACAACAAGAAAUGGACGGGCUUUCCAGUUUCCAUGCAACUUAGUAAUUAGUUUUCAUCUUUUGAGCCAUUUUUACCACAAAAAAAGAAAAAAAAAACUUUUGAGCCAUUAACUUCAUAUUUUCAACACUGCAAUUUGCAUAUUUUCUCAACAGUAGAUUUAUUUUCCACACUUUUAUAAAGUAAAUUUUGGCAAAUUGAUAAUCUCAUCAUACCUGAAAGUAGGUGACAAGUCUCAAAUCUUUCCCUGGCAAUCUCCACAGGAGGAUUUGAACAGUACGUUUACUUCCGAGUUUAUGAUCCAUGGAAACGAUGUCGUAUGAGCUCUUCGUCACUGUUUAGUAAUCAACAAAUUUAAGCCAAUAAAUAAUUACUCCAUUAGUCGACAAUGAGUCUUCAGCAGCACGUUAAGGGGUCAGCCAUCGUUGACUCUAUAACAUGUACGUUUGUACGCCACGUGAGUGGAUGAAUCCCGUUGUCAAAUCUGACGGUGGAAAAUGUAAAUAUUUGGAAGUAUCUGACCAAAUCAGUCUAUAAAAAUCUCCAAAACCAACCGUACGGUGUAAGACUCAAGAAAGGAAAAGAGAAAAAGAACCCCAAAAAAAUAUGAUGAAGUCCUUGAUUUGUUUCUCGCUCAUCCUCCUCCCUCUCAUCUUCGUUGUGGAAGCGUUUCCCGGUGACGGUGAGCUUGUGUCAAUCAAAGAUGUCUCGGCUCGAAACAUUAGAGAGGUCGCCAAGUAUGCGAUAGAUGAGCAUAACUCGGAAUCGGAUGAUAAUCUUGUGUUCGUUAAGAUCAUCGAGGGAAAGUGGAAAGUGCGCUCCGCGAUAUUAAUAUACGAUCUGACCAUCGCGGCUAAGAAUGAGGGUGGUGCGACCAAGAACUACAAGACUGUCGUGAUGGAAUCUGGGAGGGACAAGAUCCUUUACUCAUUCAAUGAGGUGUAAGUCGAGAUAUGAGAUAUCAUAAUUUGAGGCUUUGACGACAUUGUAUGUUUCUUUGAUGUUUUUGUUGUUUUGGAAUAAAAACUGAAUUGGAGAUAUUUUUUUUCCUGAAAGAUUCCAUAAAAAGUUCUGUUGUUUUCUUUUCCUUAAAGAUUCCAUAAAAGUUCUGUGUUACUUGGAGCUCUAGUUUGAGACUGACUUUAUUUUAUAUAUAAGACCAAUGUACAAGCAUUAAAACUAUAUACAAAGAGACUAUAUACCUCAGUAUGAUCCUUCUUUGUUGGCUGUGGAGAGCAAUGAAAGGCUGAAUCACUUUAUGAUAAAAAUCAUCGCAUAACUAACUGAUGCGAGUCGAGAAGCUUUGGUCACUGAUGUGCUUAACUUUUAAAUAAUAUAUAAUUGUCAUAUACAUUGAUAUUGGGUCCAAAUGCACAUGCUAUUGUUGUGUGUUUUGGCAAACCGAACAGACUAUUUAUAUCUUGCUCACGUUCUAAGAUCCGUAAUUUAUGCUAUAAACAAAUUGUUUGGAUAAUAGAGAAAAGAAGUGAUGAUUUAUUUUUUUCAGAAAACAAAACGAGGUGUUUAAGCCCAUUCAAGAAUUCAUUCUUUGUUGGAAAGCCCAUUGGAUCAAUAUAUCAAACAUAAUUAAGCUUUAAACUGAACGAGUCUUCUCCUUCCCCAGUACAUGAUUUUUGUUUAGUUUGGGCUGUUGUAUGACAUGUUCGAAAAUGCUGCCGCCUACCGUCUAGGUGUUGUUUGGAGCUUAACCGCGUGAAUCUCCUAGAUUAUAUUUGAUUGCGAAGUGAUUUUAUCGCAUGUUCUUUUUACAAUCAAUUUUACAAAACAAAUACGAUGUAAUUAGUGAAAUUGAUGACAUAUCUUAUAGCUUAAUAUAACAUGGACAAUUGCAUUUAAUGCCAAUUUAUAUUUUUGGUAAACAUUUUUUUUUUUGUCGUCAAUUAUACAGACUCAUAUUGACUCUGUAAACCAAACCGGGUGAUCUGCAUCCAUGUGAACGACAAAAGAUGGUUGCUUCCUAUAACUGCGUGCUAGACUAUCCGCCUUUGAGUUUUGCGUCCGUAGUACAUAGAUAAGCACUGAUCGGGUGAAAAACUCUUUCAGAGUCUUGAUGUCUUCCAAAUAACUUGCAAAAACUGGUCACUCCUCUGGUUCCAAAACCAUUUUCACCAAUUGAGAACAAUCCGUUGCAAACGUAACCUGAAAUUGACAUAAAUUCCUCAUACAUUCCAUUGCCCAUAAUAAUGCCUCCAUCUCCGCAUGAAGAGGCGAGAGGCUAGUCCGAACAUUUCUUGCCCCCAUCAAUCCAUCAAACCCUACCAAAGUACUGAACCAACUUUGUCCUAAGAAAUUAGAACCUUCUUUCCACGAACCAUCCGUAAAACACCAUCUUCCAGGAAUUGAUUGUAAACUUUUUAAAAUAUUGUAAUAACUCAUAUAUUACAUUUAAUGUCAAUUUAUAUUUUUGGAAUUUUUUUUAGAAUAUGGGAAUAACUCAUAAAUCAUCAUUAAAAUAAAUAUAUUCAAAUAUGGCAUUAUAAAUUUUGAAAUAUAAUUUAAUUAUAUAUUUUUAAAUUAUAAAAUUUUAUUACUAAAAUUUUCAAAAAUGUAUACCAUUUUUUUAGAAAAUUAUAUAAAUUUAAUCGUAAAAUCAUUAUUACCUUAUAUAUCUACAAAUUUUAUAAAUAUUUUUUAAUUUUAUUUGUUGGUAAUUAUGCAACUUUUACAAAUGUAUUUAAUAUAUUUAAUUAAAAUAAAUAGAUAGAUUUUAGACAAUUGCAUUUAAUGUUAAUUUAUAUUUUUGGUUACCUUCUUAAAAUAUCGCAAUAACUCAUAUAUUACAUUUAAUGUCAAUUUAUGUUUUCGGAAGUUUUUAAGAAUAUGGGAAUAACUCAUAAAUCAUCAUUAAAAUAAAUAUAUUCAAAUAUGGCAUUAUAAAUUUCGAAAUAUAAUUUAAUUAUAUAUUUUUAAAUUAUACAAUUUUAUUACUAAAAUUUUCAAAAAUAUAUACAAUUUUUCUAGAAAAUUAUAAAAAUUUAAUCGUAAAAUCAUUAUUUUCUUAUAUAUCUAUAAAUUUUAUAAAUAUUGUUUAAUUUUAUUUUUUGGUAAUUAUGCAACAUUUACAAAUGUAUUUAAUAUAUUUAAUUAAAAUAAAUAGAUAGAAAAAUUUAUCUAAGAUUAUAAUUUCAAAUAUAUACAUGCAUAUUCUUAAAUAUAAUUUUUAUGUUUAAUUAAUCAAAUUUAUAUUAAAAUAUUGAUACAAAGAAAAAAAUCUACAAUAUUAAUAAAAUUUUAUUUUAAAAUAUAAUUUAUAUUUAUCUGUUAAAAAAUAUUUUAAACUUUUUUUACUGCACAUGAAGACACCUAGUAUUACCAAAUAGGUGAAGUAAAGCGUUGACUGCGCUGAACCAUAUUGAUACACGUAAUUUCUGCGUUGACCCAUGUAAUUCCCGCGUACUUUUUUUAUUUAGUUUAUUAUCUUUUAGUCACAAUUUUGUGUAAUUAUCUAUUACCAAAUAAUUAUAAUCUCCUAUAUAUUAGUUGAGAAACAUUAUAACUUCUUUUUGUAGCCACAUGUCAUUACUACGAUGAUUCUUAAAAUCCUUAGAGAAAUAGGUUGGUCCAUCUAAUUAUAUAAUAAACUUAUUAUUAAACUAACCAUAAUUUCAUCAUUUAUGUUUUUUUUAUUAUUUCCUCAAAUAAAAGUUACAUAAUUGUCUAAUGUGACUAAGGUAUAUAUGACAACUAAUGAUUUUGAAUAAGAAUGAUUCGAUAAAAAUUAGUGUAUCUUAUAUCAUAUUUUUUUUUAAAUUUUAAACUAUUAAAAUAAAUUAAAUAACCACAUUAACCAUAUAAUAAAAAUUUAGAUUUUUCUAUAUAUGUUAUAUUUUAAAUUUUUAAAAAUGAUUAUAAAUUACUAAAAUUGUUAAAAUUCUCACAUUCAAAUUUUAUGAUCCAUUGUUUAAAAAAAUUUUAUGUAAAAAUACAAAUGAUUACAAAAACAUAUAAGUAAACUAUAUACCAAAUAAAAUACAUAAUUAUUUUAAUUUCGAAAUUUACUUUGAAUAAAUAUUUUUUGAUAAAGUCUUUGAACAAAUAUUGACAACUUAAUUUUUAAAAAUUAUAAAUUAAUAAAACUAUUAAUCUCACAAUGACCAUUUUGUUAUCAGUAAUUUAACGUUUUUGCUAUAAAAGAUACAAAUGAUCAAAAAAAAAUAUCAGUAGAAAUUUAAUUAUAUAUCCUACGAAAUAGAAAAAAAUUGUUUCGAUUAAUGAAAUUUAUGUUCGCACCAAUUUAAUUAUAGAUAUAAUACCUAUAAUAAUUUGUUUUUAUAAUGUUCUCUUGUGUGGAUCUUAACCUAGUUAGUUAUUAAGUCCAAAACCAUUGUUCAAACCCCAAAAAACACAUACAUACUGUAUUUUGGAGGUUUUUUCGUAUUAAAACCCUAAUCUAAAUGUUGGACAAAUCAAAUAGAGAAUUUUUAAAAUUAUUUAUAAAAAAUUAUAUAAUUAUCUUUAAGAAUUUGUGUCAUCACGUUUAAAAUUAGAUAGACAUAUUAUAAAUAUAUUAACUUGUAUUUAAAACUAGGUCCGCGUAUUUUUCGAAUACUCUCUGAUUUUUUGAUAAUUUGCUAGGCACGAUCUUACUAACCGACUAGCACCUCGCGCGAUUCCGAACUGGGUUGUAUGUGAUUUUUUUUUAGUGUUUGGAAACAAAUCCAAGUUCUGAAGCUGUUUAAAUUUGUAUUUAACUAAUAAAAAUAUAAUAUGAAGAAAAGAUCGUUUUUAGAAAGUAAAAAAACUUCAAUAGCUAAUUAAAUUAGCUUGUAACUACGAAUAAAUAACGAUAACACUGUAUAUAUUUUCGAUGGUUGGAAAUCUAAAAUGUUUACUUUACUGAAAAAAGUUUACAAUAAAUUUGAUUUUAUCAAUUUUUCUGAAGUAGAGUGGUUUAUUUGGUACAAAAUCGUAGUUUUUUUUUUUGAAGUGAAAGGCUAAUCAUGAUACAUGGAAAAAGAUUUGUGCGUGGACCCUUUCAUUACUACAAUCUUUAUUUUGCAUUACAUUAUUUGGUCAAUCUUCCAUCCCAUAUCCACUUAAUUUUUUUCUACAUAAUUUAAAGGAGUAUUAUUCUAAAGUUUAAACCCACUUAAGUGUUUUUGUUUGAUUAUAUUCCACGAUAUUUUAUGCAGGAGACACGUGCGAAGUUUCAACUUCAACGCAAAUUUGUUAAAAACACACAAAAGUAAAAACUGAUAAUGUUUGAAAUGGAAAACACUUUUGUUUGUGCAUCUAACUAUCAUUCGUAUUCCUUAAUCCUUAUACCCGCCGCAUAUUUUCUAGGCUGUUCGAAUGAAUACACGCAUGUAGUUUUAAGCAAACUUUGUAAUCAUUAUUAUGCAUUCAAAAUGAGAUUGGAUCUACACCUUUUCUUGUUCCUUUGGCGGCAUGUUUACUUUUUCUAAGUCAUUAGUGACUUAGUGAUGGUUAUGACUUUUGUAUGGUGCUAUAUUUAGUUGGAUUAAUUUUGAGUUUUGAUUUCCAUUAUUGGGACACUAGUAAACGAGUAAUUAUAUGAACAUAUAAUGGUCAAAAAAACAUUAUUUACACGUGUGGGUAAUAAGAGGGUAUGACCACAAAAAAAGUUGACUAAUAACAUGAAUAGCAUGGCGUCAUACGAAUGUACUCCCAUCCUUUCUAAUAAGUUGAGAUGUCCUUUUAUUUCUUCUACGCCACAUUUUAUCCAAAACUCUAUAAACAAUAUUUCUUCUCCAUAAUUGAACUAUAACAUUUUAGGAUAUCUUUCUAUUUAAACAAUUUGUGGAAUAGCGACGGCCCGUUGAAUUUUCUUCUCUUGAAACAUGUUAAUUUGUUUUAUUGACCAUUAAUUAACGGCUCAUGCUAAGAAAUACCAUAUAUAUUUUUUUAAUUAUAUAUGAAUAUUAUGAUACCGCUAAAAUGAUUUAGAUUAGUCACGUGUUGACAUGUGUUGAUCUUCUGUCAUUUUAACCUAGAAUUUUUGUUCUCAAGUAGUCGAGUUAAUCACCACCAUACUAUAAGUUUUGGUUAAAUAUAUAUAUUAUAUUGAAAAUUGUUUUACUAUAAUUUCUUAUUAAGUAAAAUAUUGAAUCGUGGAUACGAUGACCACCUUGUAUGAACUGAAUCCUCUCAAUUAGCAAAAAGCAUUGACAGAAGCUUCAAGCUGAGCCUCUCGAAGAUAUAUUAAAUAAAUAGAUUAAAAAGAAAAGCGCUAAUUAAAAAGUAUUGGUAAUUAUUUCUUUUAAAAAUACUAAAUGGCUGCUUUUGAAUUAUCUUUUGGUCCGGAGAAAAUGAGUAACACGGUUCGAACAAAGUGAGUAACGCGUAGAAGCUGGUGAAUCAGGACCGCUAGACUUUUUAUGAGAUCCCUUGAAUUAUGAGAAAAAGACCAAAGUAGCACUAAAUCAAGUUUUUGUUUCAAAGAAGCUGGUAAGUCACUUUUUCUCUCUCGACACAAAACAAAAAAAAAAUCAUCUCCUCCCCUCCGGCACGGUGGCCUCGGCGCCGUCGCCGGUGGCUCUCUCUUAACCCUUCCUCUUUUCUUCUUUGCUUUCCCCUCGCUCUACGUCCUGCAGCUGAUAUGUCGAAGCCCUAGGGAGCUCUGCCGGAAGCUGGCUCUCUGGAUCUGGAGCUCGGUGACAGAUCUAGUCUAUGGUGGCCUUCCCCGGUGUCAAGAUGAGGCAGCAAGGCGUUUUGGUAAGGGGAGAGUCGGAUUUUGGGUGGUGAGUACCGAUGAGCGUUUUUCCCAGAUCUGUCUUGCUUCAUCGGUUACUUCCGCGAGUUGGUGGCGCGUGGGCUUUGGAAGAGUCUCACUCGACUCGGAUCUGUCCUUUCGUCGGUGUGGAGAGGCGGUUGUCUCCAUUAGUUUGUCGCCUUGGUGUCUCGGCUUUGGACUCGGUCUCAACCCCUUUCAAGAUGUGCCUCGGAGGUCCUCGACUUCUAGACGUGCAGCGGUGGUCUCUUCUCUGGCGGUGUCAGAUGCAAGUUUCCUCAAUGGCGCGUGAAGACCUUUGGCUCUCUUGACGCGUGGAGUUGUCUAUGCUCAGGCGUCGGAGAUCCGGUGGUGUUCCUCGGUCUUUGUCUCCUCCAGCCUUCGGUUUAAACAGCAGAGAGCCCUUCUCGGAACUGUGCACCUUCUGUUUUGGGUUUCUCGAGCCGGUUCUUCUUUGUAUCUGCAACUCCGUCCUGUCACCGGUUGUUGCUUCAGCCUAGCCUUUUGAUUCAUCCUCUAGUUUUUAGAGGUGAUGCGUGUGAGAUGGUUGGACCUUCAGGUGGUCUCUGCAGGUUCAUUUUCCUCUCCGUGACGGCACGUUUGGUCUCCGGCUAUCCCAGUGCCUUGUGGGUCUUUGAUCUUCUCGGCAAGUUGGAGUCCAUCAAUGGCUUGCAGGUGCUCGUCUCAGCGUGUUUUUAGCCAGCCACAUCUCAGCCUGUUUUACGGCUUCUUUUGGCCGAAGCGUCUCUGUUUCGGUUCUAGAAAGCCUUCAGUUUAUCUCUUCACUCCCCCUAUCUAUAAAUCAAGUUCAAGUCUCGGGUUAGUGUGUCGAAUACGACCUCUCCGUAUCUCCGUACUGGUCAGGGUCUGCCAAGAGAGACGGACUUGUUGAGGAUGGCGGUUCCCCUUAACUUUUCUUUUAAAAAUACUAAAUGGCUGCUUUUGAAUUAUCUUUUGGUCCGGAGAAAAUGAGUAACACGGUUCGAACAAAGUGAGUAACGCGUAGAAGCUGGUGAAUCAGGACCGCUAGACUUUUUAUGAGAUCCCUUGAAUUAUGAGAAAAAGACCAAAGUAGCACUAAAUCAAGUUUUUGUUUCAAAGAAGCUGGUAAGUCACUUUUUCUCUCUCGACACAAAACAAAAAAAAAAUCAUCUCCUCCCCUCCGGCACGGUGGCCUCGGCGCCGUCGCCGGUGGCUCUCUCUUAACCCUUCCUCUUUUCUUCUUUGCUUUCCCCUCGCUCUACGUCCUGCAGCUGAUAUGUCGAAGCCCUAGGGAGCUCUGCCGGAAGCUGGCUCUCUGGAUCUGGAGCUCGGUGACAGAUCUAGUCUAUGGUGGCCUUCCCCGGUGUCAAGAUGAGGCAGCAAGGCGUUUUGGUAAGGGGAGAGUCGGAUUUUGGGUGGUGAGUACCGAUGAGCGUUUUUCCCAGAUCUGUCUUGCUUCAUCGGUUACUUCCGCGAGUUGGUGGCGCGUGGGCUUUGGAAGAGUCUCACUCGACUCGGAUCUGUCCUUUCGUCGGUGUGGAGAGGCGGUUGUCUCCAUUAGUUUGUCGCCUUGGUGUCUCGGCUUUGGACUCGGUCUCAACCCCUUUCAAGAUGUGCCUCGGAGGUCCUCGACUUCUAGACGUGCAGCGGUGGUCUCUUCUCUGGCGGUGUCAGAUGCAAGUUUCCUCGAUGGCGCGUGAAGACCUUUGGCUCUCUUGACGCGUGGAGUUGUCUAUGCUCAGGCGUCGGAGAUCCGGUGGUGUUCCUCGGUCUUUGUCUCCUCCAGCCUUCGGUUUAAACAGCAGAGAGCCCUUCUCGGAACUGUGCACCUUCUGUUUUGGGUUUCUCGAGCCGGUUCUUCUUUGUAUCUGCAACUCCGUCCUGUCACCGGUUGUUGCUUCAGCCUAGCCUUUUGAUUCAUCCUCUAGUUUUUAGAGGUGAUGCGUGUGAGAUGGUUGGACCUUCAGGUGGUCUCUGCAGGUUCAUUUUCCUCUCCGUGACGGCACGUUUGGUCUCCGGCUAUCCCAGUGCCUUGUGGGUCUUUGAUCUUCUCGGCAAGUUGGAGUCCAUCAAUGGCUUGCAGGUGCUCGUCUCAGCGUGUUUUUAGCCAGCCACAUCUCAGCCUGUUUUACGGCUUCUUUUGGCCGAAGCGUCUCUGUUUCGGUUCUAGAAAGCCUUCAGUUUAUCUCUUCACUCCCCCUAUCUAUAAAUCAAGUUCAAGUCUCGGGUUAGUGUGUCGAAUACGACCUCUCCGUAUCUCCGUACUGGUCAGGGUCUGCCAAGAGAGACGGACUUGUUGAGGAUGGCGGUUCCCCUUAACUAGUUGGUCUGUUUCGAUUUCCAUUUUUUGAUAGUCGGUAAGAGAAAGAGAGUGUCGUGUGGAUCGAGCAGCUGUGUGUUGGCGCUGGUUUGAGAGAAAGUAUCUUUGCAGUGGUCGUCUAAAUUUCGAUUUGGUCGGCGUCGUUGGCCGCGGACUUCUGGUGAUGACGGGAACCGGUAACGGAUCCCUGAACCUUAGGUUUUUUCCCUCCCGCUGUUUUUAUGCUGUUCUCUCUUUGUGUAAUAGUGAUAAGCCUAAUUUAUUUGUGAGAUUUACUGUUUAUUCGACGACUAGCCGGAGGUCUUGUUCCGGUUCCCUUUUUUCGGGUUGAUAUUUUAAUCUAAUAUAUAUAUUAAAAAAAAAAAAAAAAAAAAAUCCAUAUAUGAAUCGAUUGAUUACCACAAAAAAUUUGCAAGAAAUCGGUCGAUUCUAAAAAAAAAANNNNNNNNNNNNNNNNNNNNNNNNNNNNNNNNNNNNNNNNNNNNNNNNNNNNNNNNNNNNNNNNNNNNNNNNNNNNNNNNNNNNNNNNNNNNNNNNNNNNNNNNNNNNNNNNNNNNNNNNNNNNNNNNNNNNNNNNNNNNNNNNNNNNNNNNNNNNNNNNNNNNNNNNNNNNNNNNNNNNNNNNNNNNNNNNNNNNNNNNNNNNNNNNNNNNNNNNNNNNNNNNNNNNNNNNNNNNNNNNNNNNNNNNNNNNNNNNNNNNNNNNNNNNNNNNNNNNNNNNNNNNNNNNNNNNNNNNNNNNNNNNNNNNNNNNNNNNNNNNNNNNNNNNNNNNNNNNNNNNNNNNNNNNNNNNNNNNNNNNNNNNNNNNNNNNNNNNNNNNNNNNNNNNNNNNNNNNNNNNNNNNNNNNNNNNNNNNNNNNNNNNNNNNNNNNNNNNNNNNNNNNNNNNNNNNNNNNNNNNNNNNNNNNNNNNNNNNNNNNNNNNNNNNNNNNNNNNNNNNNNNNNNNNNNNNNNNNNNNNNNNNNNNNNNNNNNNNNNNNNNNNNNNNNNNNNNNNNNNNNNNNNNNNNNNNNNNNNNNNNNNNNNNNNNNNNNNNNNNNNNNNNNNNNNNNNNNNNNNNNNNNNNNNNNNNNNNNNNNNNNNNNNNNNNNNNNNNNNNNNNNNNNNNNNNNNNNNNNNNNNNNNNNNNNNNNNNNNNNNNNNNNNNNNNNNNNNNNNNNNNNNNNNNNNNNNNNNNNNNNNNNNNNNNNNNNNNNNNNNNNNNNNNNNNNNNNAAAAAAAAAAGAUCAAAAGUCAUAAAAAUAGCACUCAAGAGCUGGGGUUUAGGGUUUAGAGUUUAGGGUUUAUAGUUUAGAGUUUAGGUUUUAGGAUUUAGAGUUGAGAAUUGAGGUUUUGGGGAUAAGAUUUCAAAUUUUGAAAAAUAAAAAGAUUUAAAUUAUUCAAAAGAUAAAAUGUUAUUUUGGUCAUUUUAGUUUUUGAGUGCUAUUUUUGUGAUAUAAACUUAGAAAUGUGUUAUUUUAGAGAUUUGACCAUGAAUUAUUGUAUGACAUUUUAACAAUGGUGGUUUAGUCAUCCUUUUUAGAUGGUUUUGUGAUUGAUAAUUCGGGAUUCUGCUAGUAUAAGCGUGGACAAUUCAAGUACGUACAUAAUACAUAGGACUGGAACCGGAUCUAAGGUUUAUUGUCACUUGCUGAAAAAUCAUGAUAACAUUGCGUGAAUGACUUUGUCCAAAAAAUAAACAUUGAGUGAAUGACUUUGAACCUAAAGUUAAACUAUUUAAACUAAAACUAUCCAAUAUUAAAUUAAGUUGGAUAAUUAUAAUUAUUUAAUAGUUUUAAAUUAAAAUUUAUUGAAUAAUUUAAUCAAAUUUGUAUUAAACCAAAAUAAUAUAACUCUAAUAUAUAUACAAUGUAUUAAUUUAAAAAUAAUCAUAACUUCAAAAUACUAGUUUAAGUAAAAUACUAAGAACCAGAAUUUUUUUGAUUAUUAAUAGUUAUGUUUUUAACACUAAUAAUAUUCGAACUGAUACAUAUUUAUACCUAUAAUGUUCUUUCCCAUAGAAAUGAACAGUUAGGAACGUAGAGUUUCUCUCUCCUUUUGUUCUGUUUUCUCUCUAAAAUCCGACACAGAGGAAGGAUCGAGAUGAAACUUCUUCCGGAGUUCUAUCAAUUUCAUCUCCUGUUAGCUAGUUUAAUUUUGGGAAGCGGUGAUACUUUUUACACCGUUGUCGCCAGCUUUCGUUUCUGGGAAAUGGUGGCUCUAACAACAUCGGUUUCGCCGGCUAUCGUCUCCGGGAAAGAGGUGGCUCUGAUAACACUGUCCUUUCUCCGGCUUCUUCUCCGGUUUGAUCUGGAAUCAGUUCUCGAUCUACGUUUUUGCUCUCUCUUUACCCAAUCAACUCUCGAUCUGAAUAUCCUUGUUGACUUUUGGAUUGAUCGUAGACGAUUGAUGUAUCUUAAAGCGUAAAUCGGUGUUUCAAGAUCAAUAGUUUCAACGGUUUUGGGCUCCAGGGUGGAGAUUUGGUCGCGCUUUGUUUUUGAUCCUGCGGAAGAGGUUGUCGACUUAUGGUGGAUUUCCGAGGACUGCGGCGACGGAGGUUGCAUACCGGUGAAGUGUUGGGGCUUCGAAUCUUUCGACACGUGCCCCUCUGAUGGUGUUUCGAUCAACACGUGGCGGCCGGGUGAUGUAUGUCCCUCGCAGUGAGGAUCUUGACAUGUGUCCCGUUCACGAACCUCGAGUGAAUGAAGCGGCGCCGUUGGGUUUAGGAUAAUGGGCUUAGGGUCCAAAAAUGGUUUGCGGUUUGGUUCGUCCAUGUGUUUUCUAGACUUUAUCUUUGUAACUUUCGUGGUUUACUUUUAUGGGUUUUGUCCCUUUAAUAAAAUUUAGAUGGCAAAAAAAAAAAAAAGUUCUUUCCCAUUUAUAUCAUGUAAUCUUUUAAUUAAAUGAUAUAUACGCGUAGACAUACAAUUAUGUGCAGAUUGAUGUACAUACAUACACCCAACUUUGCAGAAAACGACAAUUCGUGAUGGACAUCAAUUAGAAAAUUUAAGUUACUAAAAAUGACAGAAUUGGUCUAUUUAGAGUUUUAAUUAAUCCACAAUUGGGAAUAUUAAUAAUUUAAGGAUUUCGCAGUCUAGAUACAAUAUUGUAUUUGUCUAUUUUGGUCGCCGUAAUAAGGAUAUACCUACUCUAUCUCUACGGCUGUCUACACGAUUGUUAGAGUGGGGACAAACACAAUCUUUACAAUCGCAUUAAUUUAAUUACAAUAUUAAAUCUUUUAGAUUCCAGUUGGGGUGUUGAACAACUCACCAUGCUGUAUAAUUACACAGCACGUUACUUUUAAAAUGAUCACAAAGAUAGAGAUACUUUGCCUCCGGAGCAAUUCAUAUUGAUUAGUUAAAACUUAAAACACUUAAAAUAAAACCUUUGAGAGACAAAAUAACAUGUUUAAAUUGUUGAUACGUCGCUUUGGCGACUAACUAUCCAUAUUUAAUUAAUCGUACGUGCACUUGUUUGAUCUUGACUAUGAAAAAUAUAUUACUCGCGUUGGAUCAAGUUGAUACAUGUUUUUGAUCUAUGAACAUAUGAACGGUAUCGGUUAAGAAUAACAAAGUAUAAGUACACAUGCUUCGUUACAGAUAUUCAAUAGAGAAACCAAAUAUCAGAAUACAUUCAUUAGUCUCAUUCGUUAUGUGAAAACUAUAUCGGUUUAAUUUUUUUAGUCAAAAAAACUAUAUCUGUUAUGCUACACCAUAGUUGCUCAACAGAUAUGGAAAUAUGUGGCCGAUAAAUAUCUUCUUUUUUUUUUUUUUUGUCAUCAAAAGCUUUAUUUCAAACUUAAACCGGUCCUAUCGUACUAGCCUCGUGAGCUAGCGGAAUAGAGACCAUACUGUCAACCAACAUGUAGUGUAAAUCACGUGAUCGGGCCUCUUUUGCAAGAGCAUCCGCACGGAAGUUCAAAGAACGAGGUAUAAAACUCAGCGAAAAGGAAAUAAAAGAAGUUCUCAGUGCCUCAAUGGCAUCAAGCUCUGGAUCAAGUGCUGGCCACUUCUUAGAGAAGUUGAUGAUGUGUACCAGCUGUUGACAGUCUGAUUCCAAGCGUACCUGCUGGAACCCACGGCUACUAAGCUCCUCCAUAGCCCACACUAAACUCUCCGCUUCCGCAUGUAGUGGGGAUGGGACGUUGAUUAGUUUCCUUUGCCCUCGCAUUACCUCCAUGUCGCCAUCGAACACAAUAAAACUCAGCCCCACUCCAGUAUCUUCUAGGACCCAAGACGCGUCGAGCUGGCAUCUCCAUCGUCCCACCCUUUCUUGUUCCUCCACUUCCGCUAUCCUCUCAUUCCCGUCGUCUGCUGCUUCCAAGAUGUCCGGCAGGAUCUGCGCUAGCUUCCAUGUUGUAGCUUCCGAAACCGCUAGUUGCAGGGUAUCCACAGGUGAUGUAUCCUUGUUAUUAAAACAUUUAUCGUUUCGUGCCUUCCAUAAGUACCAGAUCAACCAUGGAAAGAAGGCCGUGCUCUCAGCUCUGCUAGGAUCUGUUUGCAAAUUCAGUAGCAUAUCAAAGUUAACAAAGAUUGAGGAACUCGGGAAGACCCCCGGAGACGUCGGGACUGUCGAUAAUGCCCAACUUUGAAUCGCUGGCGGGCAUUCAAAGAUGAUAUGGUUAAUCGUUUCAUUCUCCGCACCACAGCGUUGACAGACCGAGUCGUUACCGCAAUGUCUUUCUUUUAGCUUGCUCGCUGAGGCGACAUAUCCAGACAGAGCUUGCCACAGAAAAUGCUUGAUUUUCCGCGGCGCCUUAAGUCUCCAAACCUUCUUCUUUAAACCAUUGCAACUCGGUCCCAGGCUUAUGUCCCCACGCAGCUUUUUCCGUUGUUCAACUGCAAUGGUGUACCCAGACCUCACUGUGUAUACCCCCGACUUUGUAUGCUUCCAGCUGUAGCCGUCCUUGCGUCCCGUUUUGCUGAUCCUAAGUGUGAGAAUACGAGAUACAUCAUCGGCAGCAAUAAAUUCAUUUAUAACGCCAACAUUCCAUUCAGCCUUGUCGACAUCAAUAAGGUGGUGGACUUUAAGAUCAGUAUCCAUGAUCACUGUCUUUGGUUUCGCCGCGCGAGCAGGUUCCGUAGGGAUCCAUGCGUCUUCCCAAACUUUCGUGUCUGCCCCUGUUCCUAUCGUCCUCUUGAUUCCACCGAUGAGAAUCGGUCUAGCUGCCAUCAAGCUGUUCCACCCAAAAGAUGGGGAAUUUGCUUUACCUAUUACAAGUGGAUUCGAGUGUCUGUAGUAUCUACCUUUAAGAACUCUUGCUAGAAGGGACUCGGGAUGUGUAAGCAGACGCCAUACUUGUUUAGCGAGAAGGGCCAGGUUGAAAUCUCGGAAAUCUCGGAAGCCCAAGCCUCCUUCCUCUACUGGUACACAGAUUUUGUCCCAUGCCACCCAAUGCAUCCCCCGAUUGUUAUUGCUCGUAAAUGGAAAUACGACAAACGUUUAUACAAAACGAUGAUGACAGCAAAGAGCAUUCAAAAGUUACGCUACAAAAAAUAGGGAGUUAAGACUGCACAAUUAGUCGUUAAUUUCCUAUUACGAAGAUUUAACGUUGAUUCUCCAAUCGUCGUUUUUAGCUCAUCGUAAUGCGUCAAUCAUCAUAAAAUCAUCGUAAAUAUUACGACGAACAGGACUAGUAUUUAAAUUGUCAUAAACUGGUUCGUCGUAAAUUAGACGUACUAUUACGUCCACAUAUCUCGUCGUAAGUUAGUCGUUGUUAUGUUGUCGUAAAAGUGGUUGUAAAAAUUAGGUUAGAUGGGCAUAAAUUUAUGACGAAUUCACGUUAAAAUUCGACGUUAAUUAGUCAAAACUUUUACUACUAGUUUACGACAAAUUAACAUUAGUAUUUAUUCAUUUAAAACAAUUGUUUUAAAUUAUAAAUAUAAAAAAAAAAAAAAAAUUUGCAAAAUUAUUUAACUUUGAAAAUUAAAAUAAAAAUCUAAUAUAUUAAAACUUUAUAAUAUCCAAAAUAUAUUACAAACCAAAAAAAUUAAACCUAAAGGCCAAGUCGUCACGUAGCUCUGAACUACGGCGCUCGGUAUGUCGCUCUAGCUCUGCCUGCUCUUCCGGUGUGCGGUUGGGAUUUAUGUUUGGACGUACCACCCACCACAUCUCCGCAAAUUCUGGGUUCGCAUCCGCCAUGAGAUCAAACAUCGACGCCAUGGCAAUCAUCUGGGUCAUGUUCUCCGCCAUGACGGUGUUGGCAACCAACAAAGCUUCCCAGAGCUGAGAAAUUUCCUCCCUUGCAGCAACGUGACAUGCUCUCGUCCUCGGAAUAUCGUUCACUGAACCGAUUCCGACCAUCCAUUCCUUUCUUCGAGACAACCUGUAAUUAAUUAAUGAAUUUGAUUAUUAGUAAAUAUAUAUUAAUUAUUAUAAAAUUAUUAAAACAUAUUAAAAUGUAUAUAAAAAUAUAUUAAUUACUUUUUCGAAAAUUUUGUCAUGUUCGACGGUCGAUAACUGAACCGGGGCAAAUCUGGAUUUUGUUGGGUCUAGACCUCUUGGAUCUGAGCUUCCACACCGUUGUGGAUCCGUUCUACCCGAGCAUCCACGAACGUUCCAUCCGCAUGUUGGUGCGUCUUCUUGUAAAGUCGGGAAAGAGAAAGUGCUUCUCCUCCCUCAACAGCCUAUACAAAAAUUUUAUAAUAAUACGAGCAUUAAUAAACAAUUUAUUAAUUAUUACAAAAAAAAAAUAAUUAACACUUACGAUCUUUAGGGCAACUCCGGUAUGUGGGAUAUGUCCAGAAGUAUGGGGCAAUGGUAAAUUUUCUUCUGCACCAGGCAUCAACUGGUCUGUUAAGCAAUUGUUGGAUGUGCGAAUCGAGAGAGGCAAUAGCCAAAAGGCCUCCAAGUCUCUCCAAGUCUUAUCGCUGACGUCGGUGGGUUUUGCAGCAUCACAUUGAUACCUCCUUUUCUCUUUCCAGUCGCCAACAAUGUUCUUAAGGUUGUCCAUCGCCUUAGUGUUGAACGCCUUCUUCACUUGCUCGUUGACGGUAAUAGACCAAUUCUAAUUUCACUGGAAAAAAAUUAAUUCAUUAAUAAAUGUAAUAAAUAAAUUGGAAAACAAAAUAUAUAAAAUAAAAUUUAAAAUAAAACUUACUGCAAAACACUUGAACCAAGUCCUUCGAAUGUGUUCCGGUGUAAGAGUCUAGUUCGGAUGCGCUUCAGAGAAGUAUGACUUGAUGGUCUCUGAAACGGAUCGUCCAAGGCAACUGUCUGUCUUAAACCUGUAAAAUUGAUAGAAAACUAAAUAAGGUAUAUAAUUAUAAUAAAUGAAUAUAAAUCUAAAAAAAAUUACAAAUCUAACAAAAAUUACCAAUAAGUGUUUGGUGGUCGAUCAUGGUCGAUGAUGGGUAAGCCAAGACCGGUAACCAGUUUUUGAAUCUCAUAAUAAGAUUCAGCUGACAAAUUAUCUUCGGGCAAAUACUUUUUAAACAACUCAGCCCAUGCAUCCAUACAAACUUCGGGUAAUUUAUGAUCAGUUUUGAUAUUCAUCAUCCUAGCUGCCAAUGACAAUUUAGAAAGACUUUCUCUACAACCUUCAUAAAUUGGCUGAUUAGCUGCAUCUAGUAUUUCAUAGAACCUUUUCGCAUCGAAGUUAGGUUCCUCUAACUUUUCUACUUCUGCAGCAGCUACUAUUUACUAAAGUUGUUUCACGAAAUGCAUCUGUAACCAUGUCAUGCAUCCUAUCAUGAUCUACAAUAUGAUCUUUCUGAGGAUGACUACUUUCAAGAUGCAAAUGAUCAUUCGGUUCUUCCCUAUUACCACCAUCUUCAUAGUGAGUACUACUACUAGUUUCAUUCCUACUUUCACCUUCUCCAUGAUGAAACCAAAUUUAGUAUUGUGGGGUAAAUCCUGUAUUUAUUAUAUGUUUCCAAACCGUUUCACUACGAGCAAACUUGGUAUUCUUGCACUUACGACAUAGACAUAACAUUUUACCCGUUUCAGGCGUGAGAGGUGUGUUUCCGACCUGAUACUUGAAUAUCUCUGUUCCGUUGAGAAAUUUGUUUCUCACAACUCCCGCAUAAUCUUUAUGUGCAUACAUCCAACUCUAGACCUUAUAAAUAUUGCCACCAUUAGACAUUUUUUGAACUUUUUUUUGUGCAUCUUUAGAAUGGGAGAUGAGUGCAUAUUUAUAGGAAAUUUUCGAAUUUGGUAGGUGAGAAUGUUGCAACAAAUUUACUACUUCAUAAAAUUUACUUUAACUUAACAACUAUAUUACAACCAUUUUUACUGACAAUACAUACAAAUAUUUAUCACGUGUACAACAACUUUCUGUUUACUCGUAAUGUAAUAGUUAAUUAGAUCAUAAUAAUUUAUGACAUAAUUUAUUAGUAAUGUAAAAGCUACUUUACGACGACAUUUAGAAAUCGUCGAAACUCGUCGUAAAUAUCGUAAGGCUACGGCAAAUUUAUGACAAAUUGUUCUUGUUGUAUGUUUACGUCGAGUUUACGACGAUUUUGAAUAUAGACAUAAUAUUGACAUAAAUUCGUCGCAAAAUUAGGACCAUAAUUUUUAGUUGUAGUUGUUACUGGAGCGUUUACUUGUAAUGUUACUGUAUAUUUUAUGUAUGUAUAUUCCUCUCCAGCAACUACGCUUGAUGUAAUUGUGACCACGAAUAAAACUAAUUAAGUGAUUCCCGAUUAUAUGACAAAAAGAAAUUCUAGCCACAAUUUACGACCUUAUAACAUUAAGUGUAGCUGCGUUGUAUUAUUGUUAUCCAAGUUCUUGGAAAAAGUAAAAACCAAAACUUCAAAAACUUUCUGUUGUUGGUAUGCUAUGAAAAUCUUUUAAUGUAUUAUCUUUUAAAUUUUAAAAAUUAAAUUGAGUUUCAGUUUAUUUUCUUCUAUUUUAAAUGAAACUAGUAAAAAUAAAUUUACUACUUUAUUUUUAGAAUAAAAUAUUUUCUGUUCUGUUAUAGAAUAAAAAAUGAAAUAAAUUUAAAGAAUAGUUUAUUCUAAACUCAGUUUUUUGGGCAAAUUCCAGACUUUGUUUUAGAGUAGAAAAUAAGGUGUUAACAAUCAUUAGUGGUAGGGUUUUUCUAAGAGUGUUUAACCAAUACAAAUUUAGCAUAAUAUAAUUCUGUUAUUAACUUCAAAAAAAAAACUUCAGUCAAUGAAGCAAGAUAAUUUUUUUUGGGACUACCAUUUCUUGGGUGUAUCUGGAGACGUUGCUCAUUCAUUAUUUUAAUAUUGAGUAUAAUGAAGUAAUAAACCUAAACUGACUUCAACCAAUAUAAACUGCAAUGGUGAAAAAUUAAACCAAGGCGUUGGGGUAUCUGUGGAUUGUGGACGGUUUCGAUGAACACCUGUGGACAAGCUGUUCAUUCAAAGCUUUAUUAAUCGUUAGAUAUAUGAUCUAACGGUCUAGAAUGUCUCUUCCUCAGCCGUUCAUAACUCAACCCGAUCGACAUUGUAUUGGAAUUACGAAAAAGGCCAACUGGGCCCAACGUGUCCUCUGGCGUCGAGUCCUCUGUUUACAGGGACAUUAAUGUACUUUAACCGGAUCUCUCGUUCACCUCCUAGUCACAGCCACAUGGCUUGUGAGACAGACAUACAAAUAAUGUAACUCUCCUUCUUAAUCGUCGAUCUAAACAGACCCAACUCCAGAUCUCUCCACGUGUCACCGUGAUAUUGGAAACUUGUGACAGUCCGUGAGUACAGAGUCACCCAGGUACUAACAGCUUUAAAAAAGCUUCUCGUCCUCUUCCUCAAGCCUCCUCUUUAACCUCACCAUGAAAGUUCAGAGAAACUAAGAACAUAACUGAAACUCGAGUUUGGUCAGCACAGAUCUUUUACGAAGAUGGUUUCGGUGGAGGAUCCGUUACCUCACUCGAAUUCAACCCGUUUCCCGUUAACAACCGACUUCUACGGCUCAUCUUCUCCGUCGGCGGCGAAGAUACACCGUCAAGUCGGCCGAUCGAUGAGGACGGUGAGAUCUAACUUCUACCAAAGCGGCGAUCAAUCUUGCUCUUUCGUCGGCUCCGUCGGCGAUAAAUCGGAGUACGCGUCGGAGUAUCUGUCGGACUCCGUCAUCGACAUGAGACUCGGCGAGCUCGCGUUGAAGAACAGUAACUCAGUUCACUCGAUCGCUUCCUCAUCGAAAGAAGAAGCCUUUCUCGAUAUUUCUCAGGCGUUUAGUGAUUUCUCCGCUUGUAGCAGCGACAUCUCCGGUGAGCUACACCGUCUCGCUUGCUUGCCGUCGCCGGGUACAGACAGAACGGAGAACGACGGAGAUAAAGAAGAGCAAGAUCCGGAGCCGUGUCUAGGGUUUCUGGAGAGGGAGAACUUCUCCACUGAGAUUAUCGAGUGUAUCUCCCCGGAAGAUCUGCAGCCGACGGUGAAGCUCUGCAUCGACGGACUCCGCUCAUCUUCCGUGGCGAUUAAACGAUCCGCCGCGGCGAAGCUGAGGCUCCUGGCGAAGAAUCGAGCUGAUAACCGUGUGUUGAUUGGCGAAUCUGGAGCUAUCCAAGCUCUGAUUCCGCUUCUUCGUUGCAAUGAUCCGUGGACGCAGGAGCACGCGGUGACAGCUCUCUUGAACCUCUCUCUCCACGACCAGAACAAAGCUGUGAUAGCCGCGGGAGGAGCUAUCAAGUCUCUCGUGUGGGUUCUCAAGACGGGGACGGAGACUUCGAAGCAGAACGCGGCGUGCGCGUUGCUCAGCCUCGCGCUCGUGGAGGAGAACAAGAACUCGAUCGGAGCUUGCGGCGCGAUUCCGCCGCUUGUUUCUCUGCUGCUGAACGGGUCUUGCAGGGGGAAGAAGGACGCCCUCACGACGCUUUACAAGCUAUGCACGCUUCAGCAGAACAAGGAGAGAGCGGUUACCGCCGGAGCGGUGAAGCCGUUGGUGGAUCUUGUGGCGGAGGAAGGGACUGGGAUGGCGGAGAAGGCGAUGGUGGUUCUGAGCAGCCUGGCGGCGAUUGAGGAAGGCAGAGAGGCUAUUGUAGAGGAAGGAGGGAUCGCAGCGCUUGUAGAGGCUAUCGAGGAUGGAUCGGUGAAAGGGAAAUAGUUUGCGGUCUUGACGCUGUUGCAGCUUUGUGCUGAUAAUGUCAGGAACCGUGGGUUGCUUGUGAGGGAAGGUGCGAUUCCUCCGCUUGUGGGUCUCUCUCAGAGCGGCGCCGUCAGCGUUAGAGCUAAACGCAAGGUAAAAAACUUAAAACAGAUUUGACUUAGCUACUAAACCUUUGAGAGUCUUGUGUUAUGGAACUCUAACAGAUCUAGUUUUACUAGUGAAUCCAUUUGAUGAUUUAUUGUGGAUGUAUGAAAAGCUUGAGCUUGAUGGGUCUUCAUCUUUUGUUUUCUAUUGUGCAGGCAGAAAGACUAUUGGGUUAUCUUAGGGAGCCAAGGAAGGAGGGAAGUUCAUCAUCAAGCCCUUGAAAAUGAUUUGCAUGGGUUCCCUUGAAUGAAACCAUAUUGGGACGUUUUCAGCAGUCUAGUAUUGUAUAUACUGAGUGUAUGUUUGGUGGGUUUUGUAUAGCAUCUUUAUGUAGACUACUGUAAAAGGAAGAUCAAAUUAGUGCCAGAAACUUUGACUACUUUUGAUCUUCCUUGUAUUGAUGUUAAGCUAGUUUUAUAUGUGUGAGAGUGCUAUUUGGAUUACAAGUCUAGCAUUCAGUUUUUCUGUUGGUGUGAGUGGUGGAAUUUGCUGAUUUUUAAGGCAAAAAGCUUCUAGUGUCGGCGCAAAUGCAAUGUUUAAGAGCAAAGCAAUUUUAAUCAAUUAUUUUUUUCUCUUAUCUGAAUCAAUUAUUGUUGGAUCUUUGAGUGUUGUUUGUGGAUCCGUGUCUGAGUAUGUGGACAAACCGGUGGAUCUGGUAGAAGAUUUUUGUUCUGGCACCGCUGUAAUGUCUUGUCCUAUAAUAGUAAUGGUUAUCGUUGAAACAGUAGUUUGGCCCACUACAUAGACACUGAUAGUUAUGCCUGUCUCCAAAGAAUAACAUUUUCACUUAUUAAAACUUUGUUGCUUUCGGUUCACAAAGUUGUCUGCCUUAUUCAUUGACAUAAGCUUUUGGGGAUAGUUGUCAAAUCAUAGAGAAGUUUGGUUGAGGUUUUUAAAGUGUUCUUGAUACUACGUAAGUACGUAUUAUUCCUGUUUCAUACAAGAUAGAAACUGGAAAGUUGCAACAAUAUUAAUUAAAUAGAGAAAUACAAACUUCAUCUUAAGCUGUAUCAACGUCUUUAGCCUUGUUCUUCCGCCGCAAGAGACUUGGCUUGAAGCCGACCUCGAGCAACUUCUCGACCUCCUCAAACUGAAGUCCUUUGGUCUCAGGCACAAGCAGCCAAAUAAAGAAGAGUCCAACCGUAGAGAAGCCCGCAAAGAGAAGGAAAGUCCCAGAGGAGCCUAGAGCAUGUGUGAGGGAGAGAAAGCUCUCACUCACAAUGAGAUUAGAGACCCAGUUCGAGACAGCAGCUAUGCCUCCGCCAAGACCUCUGUAUCUAAGCGGAUAGAUCUCAGAGUUGACAAUCCAUGGGACAGUACCCAUACCUGGAGCGUACACUACGAUGUAAAGCCCCAAAAACACUAUAGCCAAGAACCCAAACUUGCUUGGACAUCCAUCUUUGAAAUAUGUUCUUCCCCUCGAGUGACACGUCGCCUUCAUGUCGUCAGAUAACACCACGCAUGCUCCUGGCGCGUACGGUUGCACGCCGCUAGCGCAGAAUCCACAUUCCGACCUGAGACACUUCAUGCAGUUCCACCUCGAAGGAGGAGCGUUUGGGACUGCGAGAGGAGCAAACGCUGGACAAGUAGCGUUUGGAGCAAACGUGGUUGACUCCACUGCAUCAAUCUUGGGGGCGUGGAUAGCCGCUUGUGCGAAGACAAUCGCUAAGAUGAUAAGACAAGUUAUGAUCCCAAACAUAGAGAUGAUCAUCAGCUUCCUUCUACCGUACCGGUCCACAAACAUCAUGCUCACAAUCGAACCAAUCGCGUUCAGACCAGAAGUUACAAGAGACAAAGCCAUCGCUGUACUGUUGGAGGCGUAGCCAGCGAACUGCACAAUGGAGGGACUGUAGUACAUCACAGUGUUGAUCCCGACAAACUGCUGCGCCACCUGGACAGUAAUACCAGCCGCGAGUCCACGUCGGACGACAGGAUUCGCGAAGGCUCCUUUGAGUUUGGCGCCGAAACUAUCUCCGAUGAUGGCCUCGUCUGCUUUCUCCGCCUCCACGGACUCUUUCAACGCUUCCAUCUCCGCCUCCACUUCGUCCUCCGGGUAAAUCUUCUCCAAGAUUGCUCUCGACUCCGCGACCCUGUCCUUCCUGUACAACCACCGUGGAGAUUCCGGCAAGGACCACAUCAACACAAACUGAAUUAUCGCCGGAACUCCCGCAACUCCCAACAUCCACCUCCAUGUCCCCGGAGUCUGUUAAAGUAUACAUUUUUAAUCAAAACCUCACCACACAAAGAUUGAAGCUUUUAGAUUUACUUACGUGGACAAAGGCGAGAUUGAUGAGGUAAGAGAAGAACUGUCCUCCGGUGAUUAAAAGACCGUUGGUGCUAACAAGCGCACCUCUGAUUCUCGCCGGAGAAGCUUCCGAUAUGUAAAGCGGCGACGUCAUCGAAGCCAUACCGACGCCGAACCCAACGAAGAUUCUCCCGACGAUGAUAACCCAAGGAGCCGGAGCAAACGCCAUGACGAUGGCCCCGAUCAAGAACAGCACGUCGGCGAUGAGAAUCGACAUCCUCCUUCCGAAUCUGUCGUUGAUCCAACCUCCUACGGCCGCUCCGACGAUGGCUCCGGCCACCGCCAUGCUGACGAUAGUCGACUGGAGCCAUGUUUUCCUAUCGACCUCGUCGAAGUCUUCUUUGAUGAAGAGAAGAGCGCCGGAGAUGACUCCGGUGUCGUAACCGAAGAGAAGACCUCCGAUUCCGGCGGAGAGAGCGAGGCGCAUGAUGUAAGGGGUCUUCCAUGUCGUCCUCCAACACUCUGUGAACUCUGUUUUGUCUGCUUUCGCUAUUCCUCCUUCCACCAUCUUUUCUCCUCUAAAGACUGAGAUUCUUUCUCACACACUAUGGCUGUGAAUUGUGAUGACAUUACACAAAUGUUAAAUUAUAUAAUAUCUUGGAAGAAUAUCGAAAAACGAGAAUCUGGAGUCCUCUUCGUCAUUAAAGCUUUUGAGAUUCUUUCCAUUCAAACACAUUGUGUAUUAUAUAUCAGGACAAACAAAAUAUACUAAUAAGUUAAGAAACAAAAGUCAACGUUUGAAGUUUGAACAAGAUUUCGAGUCUCACCAGAGGGAUAAAUUAUUCAAAAAUUGUUACGGUGUUAACUGUUAACUGCACAAGGAUGGUAUCUUAAAAAAACACAGUGAAUAUGAUUGAGAGAGAGAGAGGAUAGAAGAUGAGAUGAAUUGGAUAAGAUUCUCUAGCUGUAAAACUAUAGUAAUGGGACCCAGGUAACUAAUCUCCUUUGACUACUGUAUCUCUCUGAAUAGGUCUUUACAGAAUCUUAAAAUCUAAUACAAUAAUAAUUUAUAGAUAAUGAAACAAAAUGAAAAUAACACAAUAAAUUAAUAUAUAAAUAUCUUAAUUUCUAGUUAUUCGUACACAAUUGUCUCUAAGAACAUGUUUAACGGGGGUUGUUAGUGUGAAAUUUUUAACGUAAUAUAAGAACACGUCUUUUAACUUUUAACUAAAAAACUAAGAAUCGUUAUUUAAAAACCGGUUCUUAGAUUUUUUAGUUACAAAUUAAGAGACAGAUUCUUAUAUUCCGCUAACAAUUCUACCCUAAAACCUCUAUUAAACAUGCUCAAAGUAUCUUAAGUUCUGACUACUCUUUCCGUCUCAAAAAUUAAUGCAUGUCAAAUUGACUAUUUAAAAACAUAUAUUUGAUCUAUUAAUCUCAUGCGUAAAAAGUUAAACGUCUCUUUUCCUUUCGAUAACGUAUAUUAUCCCUUUUCUUUUGCUUUGGAAAGUUAAAUUGUUGACCUCACACGUACUCAAUAGUCACUUUUAAUAGAUCAAACUAAGUGUUUUGUCUGCGAUGCGGGCUUAAACAUUUUCAUAAUUUUUGAAAAAAAAUUUGUACAUUAUAUUCAUAAUUUUAAUAAAAAAUUUAUUUGAUUAAUAUUUAAUUAUAUAAUUUAUAUUUUUAACUUUUUACUAAAAUACUUUUUCAGAUAACAAUACAAUAUAUAUAUAGAAAUUAUUUUUUUAAUUAUAUAUUUAGAUUUUGGUUAAUUCAAUAUUCUAUUUUUAAUUAUAUAAUGAAGAAUUUUAUUUGAUUAAUAUUUAGUUAUAUAAUUCAUGUCUUUUUACUAAAAGACUUUUUAAGAUAACAAUACAAUAUAUACAUAAAUUAUCUUUCUUUAAAUUAUAUUUUCAGAUUUUGGAUAAUUCUUACUAUUAUUAAUUUUAAUCAAUAUAGAAAUUAUCUUUUUUAAUCAUAUUUUAGAUUUUGGUUAAUUAAAUAUUCUAUUUUUAAUUAUAUAAUUAAAAAUUAGAUUUGAUUAAUAUUAGUUAUAUAAUUCAUGUUUUUAACUUUUUACUAAAAGACCCUUUCAGAUAACAAUACAAUAUAUACAUAAAUUAUCUCUUUUAAAAUAAAUUAUUAAUUUUAAUCAAUUAUCUAAUCAAAUAAAUUAAAAUUUCAUUUUUAUUUUUUAAUUUAGUUAUAAAUUUUAUUCAUUAAGGGUAUAAAUGAUAUUAAUCACUCUAACUUUUAAUGUGAGAGUUCGAUUCCCAAAACUUAAUCAAAUAAAUUAAAAUUUUAUUUUUAUUUUUUAAUUUAGUUAUACAUUUUAUUCAUUAAGGAUAUAAACGAUAUUAACCACUCUAACUUUUAAUGUGAGAGCUCGAUUCCAAAAACUUACUUCGUAAAUAAUAGUAUAGAUUUAUGUUGCAGUGAAUAAUAUUUUUGAUCUUUUUUUUUUGACAACCAAUGUUUUUGAUCUUAUUUCCCUAAUUUCAUUUGAUUGUCUCAAUAUCUCUUCGAAUAGAUUACCAUUCAAAGGGUCUAAGAAUAACCUUGCAAUAGUAUAUAAUAAGAUUUUUUAUUGUUAAUAAUAAAUUAAAUAGGAAAAAAAGAAAAAAAAAAGAAAGAAGGUCUAAGAGAUAUCUGACCACCACAUAACUAGUCAUGCAAACUAAAUUAAUGUAUAGUUAACUAUAUGGAAUAUAUGUUAUGUAUGAAAACAUUCCUCAACUUCCUGAUGCUAUGUAGUUGACAUCACAAGCUUAAUUUUACUUUUACUGAUCCAAAAUGUGAUGUGGACAUUAGAGACAUUAAUUUCGCCUAAGUUUUUUCGUUGAUAAAUUAAAAUAGACCUUCCUCGUUGUGAUUUAACUAAAAUUUGACCGAAUUCAGUAUAGUAAAACAAAAUGAAAUUUGGCCACAAAUUUAACCUUUGUUAAGGAAAAUGUAAUUACAAUAUACAAAUUUCCUCUACUAUAAGAAUUAUCGUAUGAAUCUAUUGUCUAGGAUAUAUGCCUAUUUAGCGAACGUAAACUGAAUAAACAAAUUUAUUUUUCAUCAAACACAUAAUUUGAGAGAAGUUAUUUUAAACUUUCAAAUUACAUCAUCUAGAUUUUUCAAAGGAGAGGAAAUUUUACCUGGUUAAUAAAAAUUGCAAAUCAGAUCUUCUGAAACUCCUAUUGAUUUUCUUUUACAAUUUCGAAAGAUGUUUAUCGAUUUUGCUGAUAGUUUACAUAGAAAGCACUAUGAAUGUUUUUCAAAAUUCUUAUCGAUUUUUCUUCAUAGAAAAAUUCUAUCAAGUUUUGUUUGUGUUUUUGUAUUAUAUAGCAAUCUUUCGAAAGAUGUUAGUGUUUUCAGCUAACAGUUACAAAAACAGUAAUAAGUUAAGUCUUAUGUAUUUAUAGAUGAGACAUUCAGGUUCAAAUUCUAAAUUUAGAAGUGGAAAGAUAAAGAUGUAACAGUAACAACUUGAGGUAAAACAAGUGGUCUAAUAUCCAGCAAUCGAGGAUUAAUUUUAGGUAAACAUUUGGGAUAAGAACAAGUCACUAACAAAUGGUAGUAAUGUUUAGUGGUUUUUUUUUUCUUAUCCACACGGUAAUUAAGCAACUGUUUAUCCUAAAGUUGUGUGGUGUUGAUAGUCAUAAACCGCAAUAGUUUGAGCUGGCUAUUAUUGGUAUAUAUGAACAACAUGUCAUCCAAAUUCUGAGUUGCAAAAAUAAGUCUUUGCACAAGGAAUUCAUAAUAAAUGUAUAAGAUAUACAUGUAGUGUUACAAAAAAAAGAUAAACAUGUAUAGUAUAUAAACUAGAUUUUGAACUGCACUUAAAAAGUGUGGAAUAUCUUACGUUGUAAAAAUCCAAACUAGUUUUGUUAUUUUGUUACAAAUGUUAAAAUAGAUAAAUCCAUCUUGUUUAAACACAUUUCCUUUUUAACCAAUCUCUUUUAAAUUUCAAAUCCAUUUAAAUCCAUCAACUUUUUUUAAUUGGAUUAUUCAUUUGGUUAGUGUACAAAAUGUUAGUAUAUAAACAUCUAAAGUUGUUCUUUAAAUUAUAUUUUCAGAUUUUGGAUAAUUCUUACUAUUAUUAAUUUUAAUCAAUAUAGAAAUUAUCUUUUUUAAUCAUAUUUUAGAUUUUGGUUAAUUAAAUAUUCUAUUUUUAAUUAUAUAAUUAAAAAUUAGAUUUGAUUAAUAUUAGUUAUAUAAUUCAUGUUUUUAACUUUUUACUAAAAGACCCUUUCAGAUAACAAUACAAUAUAUACAUAAAUUAUCUCUUUUAAAAUAAAUUAUUAAUUUUAAUCAAUUAUCUAAUCAAAUAAAUUAAAAUUUCAUUUUUAUUUUUUAAUUUAGUUAUAAAUUUUAUUCAUUAAGGGUAUAAAUGAUAUUAAUCACUCUAACUUUUAAUGUGAGAGUUCGAUUCCCAAAACUUAAUCAAAUAAAUUAAAAUUUUAUUUUUAUUUUUUAAUUUAGUUAUACAUUUUAUUCAUUAAGGAUAUAAACGAUAUUAACCACUCUAACUUUUAAUGUGAGAGCUCGAUUCCAAAAACUUACUUCGUAAAUAAUAGUAUAGAUUUAUGUUGCAGUGAAUAAUAUUUUUGAUCUUUUUUUUUUGACAACCAAUGUUUUUGAUCUUAUUUCCCUAAUUUCAUUUGAUUGUCUCAAUAUCUCUUCGAAUAGAUUACCAUUCAAAGGGUCUAAGAAUAACCUUGCAAUAGUAUAUAAUAAGAUUUUUUAUUGUUAAUAAUAAAUUAAAUAGGAAAAAAAGAAAAAAAAAAGAAAGAAGGUCUAAGAGAUAUCUGACCACCACAUAACUAGUCAUGCAAACUAAAUUAAUGUAUAGUUAACUAUAUGGAAUAUAUGUUAUGUAUGAAAACAUUCCUCAACUUCCUGAUGCUAUGUAGUUGACAUCACAAGCUUAAUUUUACUUUUACUGAUCCAAAAUGUGAUGUGGACAUUAGAGACAUUAAUUUCGCCUAAGUUUUUUCGUUGAUAAAUUAAAAUAGACCUUCCUCGUUGUGAUUUAACUAAAAUUUGACCGAAUUCAGUAUAGUAAAACAAAAUGAAAUUUGGCCACAAAUUUAACCUUUGUUAAGGAAAAUGUAAUUACAAUAUACAAAUUUCCUCUACUAUAAGAAUUAUCGUAUGAAUCUAUUGUCUAGGAUAUAUGCCUAUUUAGCGAACGUAAACUGAAUAAACAAAUUUAUUUUUCAUCAAACACAUAAUUUGAGAGAAGUUAUUUUAAACUUUCAAAUUACAUCAUCUAGAUUUUUCAAAGGAGAGGAAAUUUUACCUGGUUAAUAAAAAUUGCAAAUCAGAUCUUCUGAAACUCCUAUUGAUUUUCUUUUACAAUUUCGAAAGAUGUUUAUCGAUUUUGCUGAUAGUUUACAUAGAAAGCACUAUGAAUGUUUUUCAAAAUUCUUAUCGAUUUUUCUUCAUAGAAAAAUUCUAUCAAGUUUUGUUUGUGUUUUUGUAUUAUAUAGCAAUCUUUCGAAAGAUGUUAGUGUUUUCAGCUAACAGUUACAAAAACAGUAAUAAGUUAAGUCUUAUGUAUUUAUAGAUGAGACAUUCAGGUUCAAAUUCUAAAUUUAGAAGUGGAAAGAUAAAGAUGUAACAGUAACAACUUGAGGUAAAACAAGUGGUCUAAUAUCCAGCAAUCGAGGAUUAAUUUUAGGUAAACAUUUGGGAUAAGAACAAGUCACUAACAAAUGGUAGUAAUGUUUAGUGGUUUUUUUUUUCUUAUCCACACGGUAAUUAAGCAACUGUUUAUCCUAAAGUUGUGUGGUGUUGAUAGUCAUAAACCGCAAUAGUUUGAGCUGGCUAUUAUUGGUAUAUAUGAACAACAUGUCAUCCAAAUUCUGAGUUGCAAAAAUAAGUCUUUGCACAAGGAAUUCAUAAUAAAUGUAUAAGAUAUACAUGUAGUGUUACAAAAAAAAGAUAAACAUGUAUAGUAUAUAAACUAGAUUUUGAACUGCACUUAAAAAGUGUGGAAUAUCUUACGUUGUAAAAAUCCAAACUAGUUUUGUUAUUUUGUUACAAAUGUUAAAAUAGAUAAAUCCAUCUUGUUUAAACACAUUUCCUUUUUAACCAAUCUCUUUUAAAUUUCAAAUCCAUUUAAAUCCAUCAACUUUUUUUAAUUGGAUUAUUCAUUUGGUUAGUGUACAAAAUGUUAGUAUAUAAACAUCUAAAGUUGUUGUGCAUAGUGAAUUGAGUUUUCAUAUAAAUAAAUGUACAACUAAUUUCCUUUAUGUUAGCUUUUGUUUUUCUUUUUCAUUUCUUAACAUAUUUCUCAAAAAGUUAACACACAGUUGGUCUAAGAUAAGUGUACAACUAACUUGACUUCUUCUAUGCGAUUUGAAAACAAAAGAAUUUUUUUUAUAUCGCCUAAUUUAGUUUCUAUUAAAUGAUGAUGAUAUUAUAUUAUGGUAAGAUAUGUUAGUAUAAUUGAGGAAAUAUAAGUAACAUAAUUUCUUUUAUUGAUGUGUUAUUAAUAAGUAAUCAUUGAAUGAACAUUAUAUGUAAAAUUCAUUUAUGAAAAAUAGCAGAAAUUUUUUUUGGUAAUUAUAACUAAUUUUCCUAAUUAUAUAAUUAAAAUUAAAACUCAAUGGCACAGUUGUAAUAUUUAAGAAAAUUUAAAGGGAUCUCAAAAAGUACUUCAGUUUUAAUAAUAUAGAUUAGUUUCUAUUAAAUGGUAAGUAUAUUAGAUUUUAGUAAGAUAUGUUAGUAUAAUGGAGGAAAUAUAUAUAACAUAAUUUCUUUUAUUGAUGUGUUAUUAAUGAGUAAUCAUUGAAUUAAUAAUAUAUGUAAAAUUCAUUUAAAGAAAAAUAUAGCAUAAAAUUCAUUUGGUAGUUCUAACUAAUUUCCCUAAUUAUAUAAUUAAAAUUAAAAUUCAAUGGCAUAGUUGUAAUAUUUAAAAAAAAAUUAAGAGGAUCUCAAAAAAGUACUCCAGUUUUACUAAUAUAGAUAUAGUUUAACUCGUCUCUCUCUUUUUGUUCUGUUUUAUCAUCUUCUCUUUUUUUUUUCUUGUCUUCUGUAUGUGCUUUAAACGAAAACAGACUUUGACUAUUAUACGUAGUUUAGUAUUUUUGGAUUAGUAACAAGUUAUGCGUGUUCGCUCUCAGUUCCAUCCAUCUAAUAUGUUUCUCAUUCUACUUCAUGUCCUUUGCUUUUCUUGGCCUUUAUGUCAUAUUUUGAAAUACAAAAUGGUCAGUUUACUAAGUUUCAACGACCAAUGAUUAUGCCUCUUCAUAGGUCUCCUCUGCUAGGAUCAAAGUUUUGUGGAGUGGAGUAGGGUUGCAACACGUGUAGCCAAAGAAUCAGGGUGCGGCAUUAGCUGGUUUGAGACUGAGCCCAACGAAACUUCAUCAAAGGAUGGUAGAUUUAAGGGAUAGUUAGCGUGAAUAUCCAAUAUAUAUGAAAUGUGUAUGUCAAACAUCAUGGAACUAAUCACAGCUUAGUGAUGCGCAUAUGUCAAACACUUGAACUUCAUUUAACUGUUGUUUGAGGAAGUUGGUGCCGCUAAAUUAACGUUCAGCUUCACAAUAAAAGACGGUAAUCUCUUUGUUACAACGUAAUGUCAACCAAUUGUUUGUCACAUAUUUUAUCAGAUAAAAUAAAAAGAAAAACGAGCAGUGCUAAAAGCAAAGUCCCAAUUGGCAUUACUAAAACAAAAUUUAGUAACGUGUUAAAAAAAAUUAGUAAAUUCUUGGAUUAAGGAGGAAAAAUAUUUCAUAUCUUUUAUACGGUGUGAUUCUUAAAUAGACCAGAUUCUUUUUUUUUAAUAACUUUGCUAUAAAAUACAAGGUGUGGAGGAGGAUCAUGAGGAAAAAAAACUAAAAUGAUAGUUGUCAAGAGUGGGAUUUGAACCCACGCCCUUUCGGACCCGCACCUGAAGCGGGCGCCUUAGACCAACUCGGCCAUCUUGACUUGUGUUUAUACAUUUCAGUACAAUUUUCUUAUACUCAGUAUAAAGAUCGAGUUAAACCCUUUUCUCCUGUGCUUGAACCCUAGAGAAAUCGAGGAAUGUAAGGAAUGCAAUUUCUCCCGGAGACGAUCGAUAGCUCAUCAUUUAGUUUCAUGUGGAGAAGCCCUCUCCUCUCAUUCCUCAUCUCCUCGGGAAUGUUGGUUUCAAAACAGAGAACGUUAAUAAAAGAUUCUUCCUUUAUCAGCUUCUCUUCCUCCUCAAUCUCCCGUCUUUUGCGCGAUUUAGGCUUCACGAUGACAAGUGUCUCGACGGUUUCAACUCUAGAGUUAAAUAGGAACGAGUCUGAUUCCGAUUCUAAGUUUUCCGGCAAAGCGACGGCGAUACUCCGCCGCAUGCUGGCUCAGAGGAAUAUUCCCAGGUUUACCAUCACAAAGUUUAUUUGAUACUAUAAAGUGUGAAGCUUUCAUUGAUAGAACAAAGUUUGGUGUUGACCUGUUAACAUGUUCUAGCUUUCAGGUAGAGCAUCAUAGAAAGAAAGAGCAGCCUGACAAGACACUACAAGGUCUUUGCAUCACUGGGAGGUUGAAAGAAGCUGUUGGGCUGUUAUGGCGCAGCAACGGGUUACAGCUCGAGUCCGAUACUUACUCUAUGCUGUUACAGGAAUGCAAAGAGAGGCGUGAAUACACAAAAGGGAAACGAGUACAUGCUCACAUGGUCGUUGUGGGAUUCGCUCCGAGCGAGUAUUUGAAAGUCAAGUUGUUGAUACUUUACGCCUUGUCAGGGGAUCUUCAAACAGGUGGGAUUCUCUUCCGUGGUUUGCAGUCGAGGUGUUUGAUCUCCAGGAACGCAAUGAUCUCAGGGUGUGUUAAAAAGGGUCUUGAACAAGAAGGGCUUUUUAUGUAUUACGAUAUGAGAUACUGUGGUUUAGUUCCGGAUCAGUAUACUUUUUCUUCCGUGUUUAGAGCGUGUUCUGCGUUGGCGUCGUUGGAACACGGGAUGAGAGCUCAUGCUGUGAUGGUAAAGACUUGUCUUAAGUCGAAUGUUAUAGUCAAUGGUGCUCUUGUUGAUAUGUACUUCAAGUGCAGCAGUGUCUCUGAUGGGUACAAAGCGUUUGAUCAGUUUUUAGAUAGAAACGUGGUUACGUGGACCUCGUUGAUGUCUGGAUACGGGUAUCAUGGACAAGUUUCGGAGGUGUUGAAGUGCUUUGAGAAGAUGAAGGAAGAGGGUUGCAGACCGAACUCUGUCACGUUUUUGGUGGUUCUCACUGCUUGUAGCCAUGGAGGUUUGGUUGACCAAGGUCGGGAGUAUUUUGAUUCUAUGAAGAGAGAUUACGGGAUUGAGCCUGAGGGACAGCACUAUGCAGCUAUGGUUGAUAUCUUAGGGCGUGCUGGUAGGCUACAAGAGGCGUACGAGUUUAUAAUGAAGUCACCGUGCAAGAAACAUGCUCCGGUUUGGGGAUCUUUGCUGGGAUCAUGCAGGAAUCAUGGGAAUGUGGAGCUGCUAGAGCUCGCAGCUACUAGAUAUUUUGAGUUGGAUCCAACGAACGGUGGGAACUACGUGGUGUUUGCCAAUGGAUACGCGAGCUGUGGAUUGUUGGAAGCUGCCUCGAAGGUUAGGAGGAGAAUGGAGAAUGCAGGAGUUGAAAAAGAUCCAGGCUAUAGCCAGAUCGAGUUACAAGGUCAAGUUCAUAGGUUCAUGAGGAAUGACACGUCUCACAGACUCUCUAGAAAGAUACACAACAAGGUCCAAGAGAUGGCUUCUCUGUUUAUGGAUGUUGACUACUAUCCAGAUGACUUGGACACUAAUUGAUAGAGGUUGUGUGACCAAGACAACUUGCAGUUAGCUGUCAGAAAUCUGUGUCCAAUUGAAUGUUGUAGCAGUCUCUCUCUCAUAUGGAAACCAGUGAUGAUGGAGAAGUGAUAGGGUCUGGAAAAUCUACACAAGUUUUGAUUUGGAUGGCUAACGUACUAAUUGGCUGAAGAAAAUUUGUUGUAUCACUUGCCAAAAACAAGCAGAGGAAGCUGCCACAGGGUUGGAGAAGUCAGGAGGAAAGUAAUUAGCAUGACAAAUCCCAGAUGAGGUGUAGAAGAAACAAAAGCUCCAUUAUACUGAAUGUCAUGAAUGAGUAUAUACAUAUUCUGUGAUUUAUAGGUUGUAAGGAGUUUUCUUUCUUUAUUCGACAUUCAUGGAACAUAUUUCUGUGUAAACCGAAUCACUAUCUGAAAGCGUAGAAGAUUCUUGAAGAAGUGCUGGGGGAAUAUGAAAAACAGGUCUCGGAGGGAAUUCCAGAGCAUCCAGGUUCCCUUCCAUCAUCUCUACCACUCUGUUCAUGGGUGGGCGAUCUGAAGGGGAAGAUUGAAUACACCACAAACCCACCAAUGUCAUCUUCCUUGCUAUCUCCUCUUCUUCACAAAUGAUUCCAUUCCCGUUAAGCCUUAUAUUGUCUUCCUUGUCAAGAUCCUUAUAGAUCCAUUCUGGAAAGUACACUGAACUUACAGUGUCUUCAGUUGAUGUUUUGGCCCUUGCGCCUAUCAUCUCAAGAACCAACAUUCCAUAGCUGUAGACAUCUGACUUGUGGGAGACUCUCCCAUACACUCUUGAAAACACUUCGGGUGCAAUGUAUCCUAUCGUGCCCCUCAUGUCCAGUAGUGACAAGAUGCUUUCUUUCCUCUCGCAGAGCUUAGCAAGGCCAAAGUCUGAAAUUUUGGGGCAAAGAUUGUCAUCUAAGAGUACAUUCUGCGGUUUUAUGUCAAAAUGUACAAUCCUUGUGGUGUAAGUACUCGAGCCCACGAGCAACGCCUAAUGCGAUCUCAUAUAGUUUCGUCCAUUCCAUAUUUGAUGACCUAUUGCCUGCGAUGAAUUUAUCAAGAGCUCCAUUUUCCAAGAAUUCACAAAUAAUUGCUCUUUUGGUACCCUCAGCACAAAAUCCUAGCAAGGUAACGAUGUUGACAUGAGAAGUUUCGCUCAUGCUUGCAACCUCGCUGAGGAAGUCUUCACCAUUACCCUUUGUGUUCUUCAAGACCUUCACAGCAACCUUGCGGCCAUCACAAAGGGUUCCUCUAUACACGGUUCCAAAUCCGCCUUUCCCAACCUCUUGCGAAAAUGACUUUGUAAUUCUCUUUACUUGCACGUAGCUAUAGUGUUUCACUGGAAUAAGGGCCUUUAUAUUAAGUUUCCUAGGAGCAUGUGAUGAUGUCUUCCUUUGCUGGCUGAUAAGACAGAAUAAAAUGAUGACCACCAACCAAAAGUGUACUCGAUUAACCGGAAAAAAAAAAAAGAAGCUAGGUUUUCAUAAGAAGUUUACUCUGUUACUGGGAUGUCUUUGCUUGUGUAUUGAGCUUCAUGUGCCUUCUUUCUGCACCUGAUGGAACAAAGCCACCCUACUAUAAGAAAUAACAGUGCCAAUCCGAAAGCAAUUUCCAUUCCUAAGACCAAUAAAACAACAACAACAACAACUUUCAUUGCAAGUCUAUGUUGUUGCCUAUAGUGUGAUAAAAUCAACUGCCUUAAAAAGGUAAGAACCUGCUUUUGCGGCAGCAGAGAAGCCUGCAUCAACACAAGGACGCCAAAAGAGAGGUCAGUUCAAAGUUCAAAUUGAAGAGAAAACAUUGUUCUUUACCAGAAACUAAAAACUUAGAUCAGCUCUUUCUUUGUAACGGAAUUGAUGUAAGAAUUUAGGGAAGAUCCAAUCAAAAUGUGGGUCAAUGGAAGAAUAUUUAGGGAUAUGAAAAACAUAUCUUACCUUUCUUUCUGCAGGUAAGGCUAUACGUCUGAUGUAUACAAUGACAGAUAGAUUCAUUUGACAUCCGGUUAUAUCCACAAGCACCGUCAGAGGCUAUGCACAUCAAACAUUCAUGGUUAAGUCCAACGUUGAAACCCUCUUGAAGAGUCUUCUUCAGAUUAUCUUGAGUUGUAUUUUUCUGCAGUGUGAUCAACGCCGGUCCAGUUGCAGGAAUACUGACGUUUCUUUUGCACUGUCCGCUGAAGUCGUUUAAAAAGCCACCAAUCUCGCUAAGUAAAGGAGACGAGAGGUUUGUCGUCACAUAGUAACUUUUCUCAUCAUCACCACCACAGUCAAGUUCUCCAACUAAAAGAGGAAAACUCCGUGGAAAGUUUUGUGAGCAUCCAUAAUAAAUUGUCAGAUUAUCGGUGCCAGGGACGAAAGGAAGGACGUUUUCGUUGAACUGCGCAUUUAUUGAGUGUUGGGGACAGAAACCACCGAUGUAAUCUGACCUGGCGAGUCUUAUGACACGAGAGGUAGAGUUUGCCUCUAAGAUUCUGAACUUCACGGCAGAGAUGCUAACCUCUGCAAACCUUUCACUGCAUUGGAGCUGGAAGUCGGGGUGGCCGCAUUCGACUCUGCUAGGUAUCCAGAAAGGGUAAAAGAGAUCUGUCUGAUCGCCACAGCUAAAUGAUUGGCUGCAGCGUCUGUGAAGCUCAUCAGCUGAGGAAACACAAUAAGGUAUCACAAAGAGUAUCCAUAUGAUUCUGUAGAACAGAGAAUUUGUAAGGGAUAGAAACAGAAUGAUCAUUGUGUUGAGGUGUCAAUAGGAAAAUGGUGAAGAAAGAAUAAUUAAUGAAUGUCUUAGUUUUGUAAGAAGGAAAAUGGCUAAGAACCUGUGUUUCAGUCAGUCUUCUGAAAACUGGACCAGGCCGGUCGGACACUGAUUUCUUGUUCUAACCGGUUUUGGAUUGUGUUAGAAACCGAAUUUUAGUUAUUCAGGCAAACAUGGUUAAAAACCGGUCAAACUCGGGUUCUAUAUUAAAACCCGGUUUCUCAAAUUCAAAUUAAAGAAAAUUAUAAAGUUUCAAAAGUUUUAUGAAAAGUUUAUAUUGUUUUUAAUAUCUAUUUAAAUAAUUAGUUUUUACUAUAUUUUUAUAUUGCUUUUGAAAGUUUUCAUUCUAGUUUAUAUCAUUUUUAGAUUUUAACAAUAAUAUAAAAAUUUAUAAAAGUAAUAUUAUAGUUAUAUAGUUACUUAACUAAGAAUUAAACUAGAUUUUAAAAUCUGGUUAGACUUGUUCAAUGAUUGAUCCAGCUACAAUGAUAAGCCAAGAACAAUGGUUUCGGUCUUUUGGACAAACCCUCCACAUUAUUAAUAUUGAAGUUUCUUUCUGGAGUUUUUAUUAAUUAUACGAGUCCAAGUUUCUUUUUGACUUAUGUGUCUUAGACUAUCUCUAAUGGUUUAUUCUAUUUUUUACUCUAUAAUAAAAUUUGAGUUUGCUCUAAUGGUGCUAUAUUUUAGAGUUAAAAGUAGAGUGAUGAAAAAAAACAAGUUAACCUAUAUUUAGAGUAACCUAUUUUUCAUUUUAUUAUAGAGUGAGAAAUAAAGUAUCAUUGAAGUACUUUUACUCUAAACUCUAUUUUAGAGUGAAAAAUAGAGUGGAGUUGGAAAUGCUCUUGCGACAAAGACUUUGAAUAUACUAGUAAACAAUGAAAAAGGAAGUGAUUUAAGCGAGUUGUUUUUGUUGAUUGUUUUUAUAGAAAAAAAAACGAGUUCACACCUUGGACUAUAGGAAGUUGGAUUCUUCCUUAGGGUUUUUUUGGUAAAUAACCCAAAAAAAAUUAGAUUUUGGGAGAGGAGUAGAGUAGAGAGAGAUAGGAAGAGGAUGUAAGAGAGAGAGGGGGAUUUUGGUUAGAUUUUUAAAUUUGUUUUGUUUCUUAGCUGCUUGGCCUAAUUUCCCUUUUUCCUUAUAUGAUAAGAUUGUUUUAUAUUUUUAUUGACUUCUAAGCAGGUGCUUGGCAAUUUCCUCAGGAAAAAAAAAUCUCAAAUCUAUGUUCUAUUUUUACAGAAGUUAACCAGCGAAACUGACUGAUGUAGAGGCAAACAGUGGAGUGUUGAAUAAGGCAAAAUUUUCAUUUACUAGGGAAAUGGACUGAUGUAGAGAAAGACUAAUUGGAUGAACGAUAAGGACUAAUUGUUAAGUUGACCGCAAGUUUUCAGCAACUAAAGAAGAUUCAAACCAGUAACGUUUUUUUUAUUACCUUGUCACACCUUCUCUUUUAAUCUCACUCAUAAGCUACGUGACUAUGUCUGAGUGUGUUAAAAUCAACAAAGGAAGGUUGAAACAAAAAAUAGAGUGUGCAUCCAGUUCUCAGAUUUGCUGCUU